UUAACGAACUGAUUCUGUCUGGAAACAAGUUCUCAGGCACCAUACCAGCUAGUGUUGGGAACUGUAUAUCGUUGGUAAAGCUGCUGCUCGAUAACAACUUAUUAGAAGGAAGCAUACCUCAAUCUCUGAAGAACUUAAAAGGUCUUGCAUUACUGAACCUAACAAUGAAUAAGCUAUCUGGUAGUAUUCCUGAUGCCCUUGCUAGCAUUGGCGACCUGCAACAACUGUAUCUUGCACACAACAACUUGUCAGGUUCCAUCCCCAAAGUUCUACAGAAUUUGACAUUGUUGGCAAAACUGGAUUUGUCCUUCAAUGAUUUGCAAGGCGAAGUGCCAAAAAGGGGUCCUUUUGCAAAUGCAACUCACUUGUCAAUUGAUGGAAAUGAUGAGCUUUGUGGUGGAAACCCUCAACUUCACUUAGCUCCGUGCUUCACAGCUGCUGCGGGGAAGAACAGAAGGCGAAUGUCAAGGUCAGUUAUGGUCACCGUAGCGUCAAUCUGCGCACUUCUAUUCUUAGGUUUAGUAGUUUUUCUUAUCCAUUUGAUCCACAAGACGCUCAGACAAGGAAAGGAAAAUCAACUCAUUCCCACAGUAAUUGAUGAACAGCACGAAAGGGUUUCAUAUCAAGCAUUAGCAAAUGGGACUGACCAUUUUUCGGAGGUUAAUCUGCUCGGACAAGGAAGCUAUGGUGCAGUUUAUAAGUGCACUUUACAUGACAAGGGAAUUACCGCAGCUGUAAAGGUAUUCAACGUACGGCAAUCUGGGUCUACUAGAAGUUUUGUGGCUGAAUGUGAGGCACUGCGAAGGGUGCGCCACCGAUGUCUCAUAAAGAUCAUCACCUGUUGCUUAAGCAUUGAUCACCAAGGCCAAGAAUUCAAGGCACUGGUUUUUGAGUUCAUGCCCAAUGGUAACCUAAAUGAUUGGCUGCAUCCAGCAUCCAAAAUACAGAGUCUGAGCAAUACACUCAGCUUAGCUCAGAGACUAGACAUUGCGGUAGAUAUCAUGGAUGCUCUGGAUUAUCUUCACAAUCAGUGUCAACCGCCUAUUAUCCAUUGUGAUCUCAAACCAAGUAACAUCCUCCUUGCCGAAGAUAUGAGUGCUCGGGUUGGAGAUUUCGGCAUAUCAAAAAUCCUUCCUGACGACACUAGCAAAACUCUGCUGAAUUCAGUUAGCUUCACUGGACUAAGAGGUUCCAUCGGAUAUGUCGCUCCAGGUAACAGAAACUAACACUGAUAUUGCUAUGUUCAGUUUUUAACUUCCAUUUUGCCAAGUCCAGUUAUCUCGGCAUGCACGUUGAUAAGUAGCUUGCCAUGAAUCCACUGACCAAAUAGUGUCUGAAAUCUGAAUUGACUGCAGAGUACGGCGAGGGUCGCGCUGUCUCAACUCUUGGAGAUGUUUACAGCCUCGGCAUACUGUUGCUUGAGAUGUUCACCGGGAUGAGCCCUACUGACGACAUGUUCAAAGGCUCCUUGGACCUUCAUAAGUUCGCCGAGGCCGCUCUCCCCGACAGAGCCUUGGAGGUAGCCGACCCGGCAAUCUGGUUUCAUGAAGAAGCAAAGGGCGAAGACCCUGCCACGGUGAGAAGCAGAAGCGAGAGGUGCUUGGCUUCAGUGGUCGGGCUUGGCGUGUCCUGCUCAAAGCAGCUGCCAAGGGAGCGGACGGCGAUGCGGGAUGCUGCCGCUGAGAUGCGUGCGAUCAGAGAUGCCUUCCUGGUUCAAUGUGCAACAGAGACUUGGCCUGCAGUCGGCACCACCGGCCUUGGGAGCGCAGACAGUUGAAUGGUGGACGGAGCUACGGUCUCUUGAUGAACCAAGGAGCACCGGACUAGCAACUCUGCAACUAACAGAGUGGAGAAAGCGCCCCUUAAUGAAAAGAAAAACAGCCGGUGCAAGGCUUUAUAAAAAGAAUGUGACAGCCACUGCGUGUAUCCGAGAGACUUAUCUAAUCUACCGAGGAUUGUUGGGUAGGGAUGCGUAUAGAUUAUGCACGUGCUCCCUCCGUCCCAAAAUAAAUGCACAUCUCGCUUUUCGAGGAGUCAAACUUCUAAGUUUGACUAAAAUUUAUAAAAAAAUGUACUACUAUUUAUAAUGUAUAAUAAAUAUCAUUAGAUUGGGCGUUGGAUAUACUUUCCUAAUAUAUUUAUUUGAAGAUGCAAAUGAUGAUACUAUUUUCUUUAUUCUUAGUCAAACUUAAAAAUGUUUGACUCUUCGAGAAGUGAGAUGUGUGUUUAUUUUGGGAUGGAGGGAGUACCCGUCACGGGGAUUAGUCACGAUAUAAGUAGGGACUAGCAAGCACCAAAAUCCCAUUCACUGCCCUUCGAUCGCUCAAAUAAAACAAACCAUUGCAUAUGGUGGCGAUGCGCUUGCGGGCCUUUUUCCAACCUUUCUGCUGUCGUGGGUCUUGAACUCGCAUGGAACAGUUUUAGUGAAAGCGUGCCCUUCAAUUUUGGGAAGAUUGCGAAGCCUCAUUUACCUGUCCUUAGUGACAAUAAGUUAGGAUCCAAUGAUAAGGACGGAUUGGAAUUCAUCACCAUGCUGGCAAACUGCAGCCAGCUUCAGCAACUGGCUUUUGACAAUAAUUCAUUCAUCGGGGAACUUCCUAGCUCAAUUGCAAAUCUAUCGACAACACACCAAUUACUCUGUAUAGGAAACAAUUGGAUUUCGGGAUUUAUUCCAUCCAGCAUAGGUAAUUUGCUUGGUCUAGAACUGCUUGCGUUGGCAAAUACUUUCAUAUCCGGAGUGAUUCCAGAUAGCAUUGGUCGCCUAGAAGACAUGUCCGUGUUAGGCAUUUACUACGCUAGCUUGUCAGGCAUCAUACCUUCGUCACAAGGAAACCUUACACAGUUGAAAACUCUCUAUGCGUACGAUAGCAACUUCGAGGGUCCAAUUCCAGCAAGUGGGGGAACUUAAAGAAUGUUGUUGUUCUUGAUCUCUCAACGAAAGUGUGUAACCCGCUAAGAUUUCGUGUCGAAGCAAAGCAUAAACCUCUCUUAAGACUGCAAAGCUAUCAUAGAGCAGAUCAGUCUAAGACAAUGUAGAACUUAGUCAAAUUUUAUUUAUAAACAUUCAAGUACAAUUUAUGCAAAGUAAAUUUGAAAAUAAAGUAUACGUAAACAUCUAAGCGCAUAGCUUUAUGAUUUGAGUUGAACUAACCAAAUAUAAUUGAAAAACACAUUUAUAUUUAUAUUAAGUCAAAUUAACAUAUAAUUAUGAAAGCUCGAGAUAUAACUUAUGGAGCCUUUAUUUAGAAAACAAAUUGAAUAAACAUUAAUCAAUUUAAGUUUAAUUAUGAACCACCAUGUUGCAUCUCUCAUUGACUUUUAAUUGAAAGAGUUAUUUAAAUAAGCAUUAACUAAUUUAGCAUUUAUUAUGAAAAGCAGUUAUAACACUAAGUAGCUUUUAAUUAAAGAAGACAUGUUUAACAUGCAUUAAUCAGAUUAAUAUUAAAUUUAUUUUAAAAACAUGCAUGAUGGAAAGAUCAGUACUAACAUGUAAUUUGUGUUAUUACAAACCUAACUCAAUAAGAACAGAUAUAAACGGAGCUGUAACGACCAGUCUAUGGGUUAAACAAGGUUGCAGGGCCUAAUCAUGAUUAACGGAAGGUUAUUGGGGCUAGCAAGGAAGAUUUGCAAGACACUGGAAUAGAGCUCCCCAUUAGGUCAAAGCAUAGGGCGAUUGCGAAAUCAAGAACUCGAAGGUGAUCGCGAGAACACGAAGGACACGAAGGUUUUAGAUAGGUUCGGGCCUCCGGAGAGUAAUACCCUACGUCCUGUAUGCUAGUUUGUAUUGCUUGAGAUUGAUCUGAUUGUUGGGAUACCCUCGGGGGUGCCCUUGGCCGCCUUAUAUAGGCUGACGACCAAGAGUUAAAAGUCAGUUUGAAUCUAAUCUACUCGGUAGUUACAUGGAAAGUAAUCUGAGUUGGACUACAGUACACGUUCCAUGAUAUCCAGGCAGAUUUGAACUGUCUUGUUGCCUUGACUUGCACUCCAAGUAACUUCAUGUCCUCGGCCCGCACGCCCUAGUCGGGCGGGCCCUACUUGUCAGUCCGGCCAGUAUCCUGGUCGGUCGGGGCCCAUGGGGUACCCAUAUCCCUCAAGCCCCCGAGCAUUGUGUAGGUGAAGAGUAACUUGAGGUCACCACAGUGAAACUUGAAAUGAAGUCGGCUGAAGCUACGAAGACAUCAUGGCGACGGAGAGGCUGCACAGUGCUCAAAAGAAGAAAUUCUGAGCAAACGCAGAGCCAACGCGUAGAGCGAAGACGAGUGCCGAGUUGAUGGAUGCUGGCAUUCAGCAGUCGGAGCAAAGGUUAUGGAGGGCCUCGCAAAACGCACUCUGUAGGAGUAGCCCCCGAGCAUUAAAGUGAUUAAGAUAAUCGGUACAAUAGUCAAAGAAGAAAAAGUUAUCCCCUAAAGUAGAUCCUAGUGCUCGAACAUAAGGAUGGGUGAAGCCAUGGAGGCCCGCCAACCAGAAGUAGGCACCCAGACCCAAGAAUGAGGACUAGCGGGACCGUGUAGCCACGUUGACCUGAAAUAGGCGCCCAACCCCUGAGGACGAGGACUAGCGGAGCCACGGAGGCAUGCCGACCUGAAGUAGGCACGCAACCCCUGAGGACGAGAACUGGAGGAGCCAUGAAGACACGCCGACUUGAAAUAGACGCCAAGCCCCUGAGGAUGAGGACCAGUGGCGCCACGGAGGCACGCCAGCCAGAAUUAGGCAUCCAACCCCCGAGGAUGAGCAUGAGGACUGGUGGAAGCACGUCGAGGUGCCUCCCGCCUCGAGCCGAGGCAGAGAGGUCAGUCGGGCGACGGGAGGCACAUGAGUCAUCUAUGGCGCGCAACCGCCGAGCCUGGGAGCCGGACGAGUUGCAGAAGCAUGCCAAGUCGCCUCCCGCGGCGAGCUAGAGAGGUUUGCUGGGCGACGGGAGGCACGCCAAGUCAUCUGCAGUGCCCAGCCCUCAAGCCUUAGGGCCGGCUGAGCCAUAGAAGCAUGCCAAGCCGCCUCCCGCCCCGAGCCAGAGAGGUCGGCCGGGUGACGAGAGGCACGUCGAGUCAUCUGCGGCGCCCAGCCCCCGAGCCUAGGAGCCAGACAAGUCAUAGAAGCAUGCCAAGUUGCCUCCCAUCCCGAGCUAGAGAGGUCGGCCGCGUGACGGGAGGCACGCCGAGUAGUUUUUGAGCUAUAAAAGGACAAUACAAUCAUCAUGUAGCAUAGUGUAGAUCGUUUAAUCAUUGAACAACUCGGAAGUUUAAUUCACUAUAUAAGUAAACUCUUGCGCAUCCUGCUCUUGUAGGCUAAGUAAUUUCCCCAGGUAGUUAGCCUGUUACGUUUAAGCACCUAGCCCUACUGACCACUGCUCACAGAGAUGACGGUUUAUCUCAAGCUAUAGCGCUGGGGCUGACCUGAUGCUUGCAUAUAGGAGACGCGCAGGAUGAGUUAAGGUUUUACGGAUUAAGGCAUGUGCUACCCGAGUACUUUAGCAACUGUUAACAGGGACAGACAAGUUGCAAAGCAGCCGGAACUGUGCGGAAAAGCACCAGCAUGAGCUAGGCACCCAUGGGGUGUAACCCCUGGCCGCCCGUGUAGUGGACGGACCAAGUUGUAUAAACAGUUAGGGUGCGACCAAGGUGGUGGGCAAAAGUCACGGAGACAUAGGAGAGCUGAGGCGGUCGACGAAAGUCACAGGAACAUGGAGGAGCCGAGGCUUAUGUAGGUAUACGGAAGCCAUAAAAUAUUUAAUUGUAAAUAAGACUUAGCUUGAUUCGUGAUCGAGUCGAAGAACCCGCAUGUCGUCUUUGCGUUUAGGCUUAGAAGCCCCUGAGCGUGGUCAGCGGAUAGUUGUUGGUGAAGCAAACUAGUAGGGCUCCAUGCCCGACUAAUUCGUGUCAAGUCCGAGUUGUUGGAGUUGUUAGUGGCAAGUCUGUGGCUGCGAUCGUGGUAUGCUGCUGCCAAGUCGAUGCGGCCAUCGGGUCGUGGCUGGCUGGCCGCCACGCUCGCAAUACAGCAUGCCUGGGUUGUGCUGCCAAACCAAAGGUGCAUGUACAUCUUUCCGAACCUCGUAAGGAAGCCCUCAGGUAUUAAGGAAAUCUAUACCUAAUAUUAAAGUGCGGUUGUUUGUUCCAACCAUUAUGGUUGUUUUGCAAAAAAGUCCCUCAACUUUUUCGUAAUCAGCUCGCAGUCCUUGGAAUAUGUCUUGAUGAUUUUGCAAAAAGGUCCCCAAACUUUACUGCAAUUGGCCGUCGAAGCUCCCGCAGCAUGCACCUACGCCACGUGCGGUGCGGACGAGUGUGCUGGCGGUGGCUGCAAGCUCCUCACCACAGCGGGGACCAGGUCGAGCAGCGACAGCGAUGACGGAGGGGAGUAGUCCGCAUCCGCGUGCCGUGCUUCCAUCGUCGGGCAAGCUGUGGCGGCGGUGGAGAGGGAAAGUGAGUACAUCGGCGUGUGGCAGCAGUCGUGGGGCAGUUUGGCGGCGGAGAUCCAUGACCCGCACCUCGCUGUGCGCAAGUGGCUCAGCACCUUGGACACCAUUGAGGACGCCACACACGUCUAUGAUGUCGCCGCCAUCGAGUUCCGAGGCCACCACGCCAAGCUCAACUUCCCCGACGACAUGGUCCCCGUGCCCGCACCUUCUAGGGUGCCCACCUCUACAUACCACUACCACCACCACCUGCCGCAGCCGCUGCCCAAGAGUCUGCACAAGACCUGCGGGUCGAACGCAUCGUCGUCGGUGCACAUGGCUCCUGGAUGACGGCAGCUUCUUGUCACCCAUGCCAUGAUCGUCACAUUCUCCUCUUGUUUUCACUUUCGUUGCUUAGCGGAUAAUGGUGGUCAGCUGCCCUUUGGUCUGUCGUCAAUCACCAGCCAUCCAUCGCUUUCAUAUGGUUUUACACUAGCUUUUGGGCUUUGACCACACCUCCACACCCAUAAAGUGGAGUGAUGUUGAUCUACUGCCGCUCGCCCUGGCGUGCAACUACUGUCGCUCACCCUAGCACAUGGCUACUCACUCGGGCUGCGUGCCCUACCCGCCACCUGGACCUAAGAGGUGAAGGAGAGAGGAGGAAGGGGGAAGGAAAUAAGGAGCCGAGUGCCUCUUUGCAGUCAACCAAGUAGAUCCAUGUGCCAGCGAAGGCAUGGCGCCAGCAAGGGGGGGGGGGCGCAGCAGCAGUCGGCAGGCAACGCAAAUUGGGGCAGAGGUUGGGACCUCACACCCCCCCUCUCAAUGACGUCCAUCCCCUUAAGAUCCGGAACUAAAGCCUCCACAUCUAGCAAUUGGGGGCUCAAUUUUGCACUUGAUUGAAAUGAUUUGGAGUGGAUUAUGGAAGGGAAGUGGAUGGAAAUGAGAAGAGGAGGAGAACGCACUCCUGCUCAUGGCGGCCAGAGGCGUUGUGGCCUAGCGCUCGAAGCAGGAAUGAGGCUAGGCACAGGAAGGACGAGCGCUUGCCUGGGCGAUGGUGAGGAUGGCAAGAUGCGCAGCGCCUGGAUGACGGCGAAGAUGGGGCUAGAUGCGGGUGGCGCUGAUGGAUGAAGAGGCAUCGACUGGCUAGAUGACGAUGAGUACGGGGGAAAUCGAAUGAAUGGAUGGAGCGGAGGUUGAGCGGUGAUUUUUUUUAUUUCCAUAUGUGGGUCCCACAUAAUAAACAUAUGGCAUCAAAUCACCCAUAAAUAUCUUCUACUACUAUACUGAGACAACGCACCAACAUAUGGUGAACCGAAGCCACCGUAUUACGAACAAGCGAAUAAUAACGUGAGAAUAAGUAAGGACCUGUAGCAACGCACGGACAUUUCUGCUAGUGAGAAAAAAAAUUGUUAUCUACCGCAGUAAGCACCGAGCAACAUAGGAGAUCUACUGGAUGGAAUAGAUUAAAUAAUAAAGGGAAGGGAGAAUUGUUUCCUUUUUUUUCCGUGGCAGAUCCGACAUGUCUGCAUGCAACAAGUUGAGGCCGACGUGUCGUGCUAAAUCAAUUGGAUCGGACUGGGGCUGGAUCAGGCGAGCUUGGCUGUGGCCGGGAUGAGGCCAAUAAGGGCGCCGCCCUUGACCUUGGCCUCCUGCGUCUCGUGGAUCUUCUGCAUCUAGAGCAUCCGCUCCAUGACAAGCUUGUACUGGCACUUCUCUUAGGCGUGGUGCUCAGGCUGGCACUUCCAGGGGAGGUAGAACUCGGAGGUGCACGCACUGGUUGUGGUAGGCGAGCGGCACCUGGGCCACCGCCAUCUCCACCUGCGUGAUGAUCUAGGGCUUCAAGGAGCCGAACUGCACACCGACCGUUGCUGCCGCCUCCAUCUGUCACUUUCUUCCCGUCUCUCUCACCGGCGAGGUCGUUCCAUCGAUAGAUGGGCAUUGCGGGUUUGGUGCGGUGUGGGUAGGUGGGGUGCAGCGAGGACAUGAGGAACCCUCUCGGAGAGAGAGAUUGCCAAUCUACUGGGCAAGUGGCAUGAUGAUCCUUGGAUAGAGAACUUGCUCCUCCGGAGUAAAUCCGACAGAUGCCGAGCUGGCGGCAGGCAUCGAGUCGAAGUCCACCGACAUGCUCCCGAAGCAGAGCUGGAUUGGGUUGGCGAGGAAGUCCUUCAUGCUCUCGGAAAAAACAAUGUCGGGACGGGAUGCCAUCGAGCUCGCUAGGGAGGAUCUCACAAUCAUCCCUACCUGGCAUGCCAACUGUUGGAUUUAUAAGCCUGAUAGUCCACCAGGGGGUUACCCAAGUAGUUGAUUUCUAGGUGAGGGCGAUUGUGAAACCAAGAACUCGAAGGUGAUUGCGAGAACACGAAGGGACACGAAGAUUUUAGAUAGGUUCGGGCCUCCGAAGAGUAAUACCCUACGUCCUGUAUGCUGGUUUGUAUUGCUUGAGAUUGAUAUGAUUGUUGGGAUACUCUUGGGGGUGCCCUUGGCCGCUUUAUAUAGGCUGAUGACCAAGAGUUACAAGUCGGUUUGAAUCUAAUCUACUCGGUAAUUAGAUGGAAAGUAAUCUGAGUCGGACUACAAUACGCGUUCCAUGAUAUCCAGGUAGAUUUGAACUGUCUUGUUGCUUUGACGUGCACUCCAAGUAACUUCAUGUCCUUAGCCCGCACGCCUUAGUCGGGUGGGCCCUAGUUGUUAGGUCUGACCAGUAUCCUGAGGUACCCAUAUCUCUCACCUUGGUGCUCCGGCGAUUAGGGUCAACGGCGAGGAUGGGGAUUGGAAGAGGAGAUCAAGGGGACUUUAUGGAGAUGCUCACCGGUGGUGAGGUGGACGGAUUCCAGCCAGAAUUUGGCUGGCGGUGGAAGAACACGACAGGUUGCUCAGGUCUUCGCGAGUGAUGGUACUCCAGCAGUGGAGCGGCGACGAAGACUAGUGGCAGAGCAGCUCCUCGACAUCAUGGAGCUCCCUAAGGCUCUAGCUUGCUCCAAUGGUCGACGGGCAUAGCGAAUUGGCCAGAGAAGGCUGGUAGCGGCUCCUAGCUUCGGUGGAUGUGGGGGAUGGCGGCGCUUGUGGAGGAUGGCGGUGCUUGUGCAAGCUGGGAAGAGUGGCGGCGCGAGGCAGGGUAGCAGCAGGGGCACUGUCUCGACUUUUAUAGGCGCGUGGGUCCGCGCCUACCUUGGCACGCAUGCUGAGGUUCGGCGGUGGCGACGACCAACUGCAGCUACGCUUGGCCUCAACCCGUUGGUGGCCGAUGGGCCUAGCGGACCUAGCCGAGCCAUCAGCUGGGCUGGGUCGGUGAGGGUCGAGCCGCAAAGACUUGGCCCGAUUGAUUAGGAUUUUCCUUUUUUUUAGAAAUGAUUUCUUGUAAAAGAAAAAUCCAGAAAAAUUCUAUAUAAUUAAUUUAAGCAACGAAAAAACCCUAAAAAUCCAAAAAUUCCAGGAAAAAUCCUAGAGAUAGUUUGGGAAUGAGGAGUACAAAUAAAAUACUUGGAGCUCAUGAAAAGGAUUCUAGAACCUUCCAAAAAUUGGAUUUAGCUCUAGAAAAAAGAGAAUAAAUCUUAGAAAAAUCUUGAAAUUCUCAUAAGAACCUAAUGGGCAUCUAAACGCAUUCCAAAACCUUUGCACUUAUGAAAUACCAAGAUGCAUCGGCAUGAAUGCAACACAUACAUAGAACUAUUAUAUUUAAUUCAGAAAAACACUCAAUUAUUUUCCUAUACUAAAUUUCCUGUCAGGAAAAUAAAUGUUGGAAAAAUUUUAAAAUUAUGAGAAAAUCAUUGUUUAAUUAUUAUUUUUAAUCACAUCCUGAAAUUUCAAAAAUUUUAAGGUGUGACAGAUACCCUCAGGUUUACAGAAUUUGACAUCCAUGUGCAAAUUGGAUCUAUCCUUCAAUGAUUCUUUGGAUUUGCACAGUUUUCAGAUAUUUACUGGAAGGAGCCCAACGGAUGAGAUAUUCAAUGAUUCUUUGGAUUUGCACAGUUUUCAGAGAAUGCUCUUCCAGAGAGAAUAUGGGAUAUAGUUGAUCCGACAAUAUGGAUGCACACAGAUGCCUAUAACAGCACUAUGAGAAGUGGAAUUAAGAAUUGCUUGCUUUCUGUUGUUUCUCUUGGAAUAUCAUGCUCAAAGAAACAACCUAGGGAGCAGAUCCCGAUUCAGGAUGCAGCCAUUGAGAUGCACGCUAUUAGAGAUUCGUAUCUCAAGUUUGCCAGAUCUCUUUUGGUGGAGCAUGGAGUAGUAGCAACAACUCACAGUGAUUUCCCACAACAGUGAAUACAUAGGACUGAAAAUGGGCAAGAUGUCCGCAGGUGAUCAGUUUACCUGAAAUAACUGAAGAUGUAUGAAGCUUCAGCUUUAUAAUUCGUCCAUGCAUUUGUUUGCAUCAGAUAUAUGGAAGUAUAAAAUAAGUUUAGAAAAUGUUUCAAAAUAGAUUAGAUCAAGAGGUUUUUACUUGUCGUCUGUAUGGCACAUUUGUUUAGAGAAUUCAGUAAUAUGUAUGAUUCAUAAUACAAUCAAUGCUCUGCAAAUUUCAGAUAGCACAAUUGGAAUAAAAAGCUCAUUCAUUGAUUAUGUUGCUCUAGGUGACUCAACUUAUUGUGAUGUUCACUGUAGAUUUCUCCAUGGUCCAAACGACCUUUGUGAUCAGUUAUGUUUAUGCAUUUUGUAGACUUGUAAAGUCUUUCCCUAACCUGCUGACAUAUCAGCUGGAGCAGAGCACUCUGCCGUUCUGCGCCACUUGCCUCUAGGCAGCGCUUGCCGCUUGGUGGCUGCCGUGGCGACGGGCGGCAUCCGUAAUUGCUCUAUUGGAGGCUGAGGGGCACAAUUACGUCUUGGAGUCGCCACCGCGCGACCUUCGGAGCUCGCCCAUGCCUCAUCGGUACGAGCUCAGUCCCGCGGUGAAUGGCGCGCGCAUCUGGGGUUCCGUCAGCUGCAGGUGCAGAUGGGUGGAGAGCUUAACAGCACUAGGUCUUCAGAAGAUGUUGGGUGGGCUGGAUGGGGCUUUGCGGCUCUGAAUGGCGAGGCGGGCAGGGACGACGGCGGCAGCGGCAGGCGGCGGCACUGGACGCGUUGGGGUGGAGACGACCCGGACCAGGGAGCAUUUUUGAAAAUAGUCGGAUCGCGAUCCUAAUUAGGAAAUGUGAGAAGGGGUGCACCAAAUAUGGGAUGAGAUGGAGAGGAGCGGAUCAGGCCCAGAUCAGCGAUCAUUUACUAUUAGGGCCCGUUUGUUUGGCAGGAAUUGGGCUGAAUUGGAAUUACUUUCCUAGGCCGACCUGUUUGGCUGCACAUGGAAUUGGAAAUCGUCUUUCCGGUGAUUUUCACGGGCUGAUUUUCUUACUUGCGACACAUUCCGGGCCUAAGACAAAGAAAUCAAUUCCAUCCGACUUGCUUCCCCUCCCGACUCGCCUCCCUUCCCCGACACCGCGCCACCUCCCUCUCCCAACUCCCCUCCAUCCCGACGCCGCACCCCCUCCUCCACCGCCUCCUCCGGCGCCCCCUCCUCACCUCCCCCUGACUCGCCUCACCCCGUGCUGCCGCCGCCCUCGACUCUGACUCCCCGAGCGCUGCGCCGCCGCCUCUCGCGCCGCCGCCCCUCGCGACCACCUUCUCGACGGCGAGAUAAACCUCCUCCAGUUUCCCUCCUCCAUCUCGUUCUCCGGCUCACCCCUUCCUUUUUCUUCCUCACCGGCUCACCCCUUCCCCUUGAACAAUCCGCAGAUCUGCGGGGGAGGUGCCACCGGCAAGCAGGCUGGGAGCAGCUGCAACGGCGGCCGCCCCAUCCACGUCUCUACGGACGGCAUCUUCAACAUUCCGACCACGCGCGUGCUCUCCACUAGCAAAGAAGCUGUACGUCCCAAUCCCUUCUGCCCAUCCCCUUUGCUACUCGAGCCAGCAAAGAAACUACUAGUUAGUUGCAUCAGAUUCUCACUGUCAAAUUGGAAGGCCAUUGCUCUUGCUCCUACUAGUAUACCGCACUUUCCACAAAAUGCGACACACGAAUUUGUUAAUUUUGCCGUAAUUCUGCUAUCAAAUCAAAAGGCCAAUCCUCUUGCUCUAAACAGUUUCUGCAAUUUCGUGCACUAUCGAUUGCUAGUGCUAAUUACAUGGAGGGCCUUUGGUACUUCUCUGCUAAUGCUAAUUAUAUGUGACAUGCUCUGAGAUUCUUCAUACUGUGUGCUGCCAUUAGUUUAAAUUUGGUAGAAGCUGAAAUCUCUUCGUAGAUCAUUAUGUGCUGCCAUUCUGAUAUCCUGUGGAGUUGCAUAUCAACUACUAGUGCUAGCAUUUAGUUUUAUCUGUCACAGCAGUUAAGCAUCAGUCAGCCCUUAUCUAGCAUUUAGUUGGUGCAGCUGUGCAAGUGAUGUUCCUAUUGUUUUUAAUUUUUGUCUUCUGCAGCAUUUUGCAGGCUGUCUAUGUUUCUGCUUAGUUUCGUGAAAUAGUGUAGCAUUUUGAUGAUAAAUUAAAACAUUCCUUUUUGCAUAUGUUUAGAUGCCUGACAGCAACAUAGACUUGGUUAAUACAGGCAUAGAGCAAAUGAGAGAGAGCGUAGGAAGAAGAGAAAAAGAGUGGCUAUUUUAUUUAUUUCUGCUGUCAUGAGCAUGAUUGUGCACUAAUGCGUAAGAGACCUAGGCGUAUCGUUGAUCCGGAUGAAGUGGCUGAGAGAAAUGUUGCUAGUCGGAAACAAAUGCCAAGGAAUCUGUACUAAGGAUCAAAUAUUUUUUGCUAUGACAGUUUGCGCCUAAUUAAGAGAUCAUUUUCUGACCUAUGUGCCAUCUUACGUGAUAGGUGCGGUAUGUGUGAUACUGUCGGUAGAAGAAAAUGUGGCUAUCUUUUUGCUUAUAGUGGGCCAUGGCACUAAGAUGAGGAUGAUUCGUAGCUCAUAUAGGUGGUCGCUCGAGCCAAUCUACCAUCAUUUCAAUGAGGUGUUGAGAGGUGUUCUAUCAUUAUGCCAUGAAUUUAUCAAGCUUCUUGAUCCAUCAGCUGUAGAACCUGAGGAUUCCAAGUGGAAGUGGUUUGAAGAUUGCCUUGGAGCAUUAGAUGGUACACAUAUUGACAUUUUGGUGCCUUUGGCUGACCAAGGGAGGUAUAGGAAUAGGAAGCAACAGAUUACCACCAAUAUUUUGAGGGUUUGUGAUCAUCACAUGAAAUUUAUUUACAUCUUAGCAGGAUGGGAAGGAUCGGCUUUAGAUUCACGUGUGCUACGUGAUGCAAUGUCUCGGGACGAUGCAUUUCUUAUUCCAAGUGGGAAAUACUAUCUUGUAGAUGCUGGAUACACCAAUGGACCGGGCUUUCUUGCUCCAUAUCGAUCCACUCGCUACCACUUGAAUGAGUGGGCUGCUCAAGGGCAUAACCCAUCCACUCCCAAAGAACUAUUCAAUUCGCGCCAUUCAACUGCUAGAAAUGUGAUAGAGAGAACAUUUGGGCUAUUAAAGAUGAGGUGGGCUAUACUAAGAAGCAACUCAUAUUUUAACUUACAAAAUCGGGUAUUCCGUAGUUAGUAACCUAGCUUGAAAUUCACCUCUGAAUGACCCUAGCAUGUAACUCAUUUCUACUAAUUUUUUGCAGAUUAGGAUCAUUAAUGCUUGUUGCAUAUUGCACAACUUUGUAAUUGAUAGACAAAGAGAUAUAGAUGACUUACUUAUAUACACCAAGUUGAUCAAGUAAUAUAUGUUGAACCUCAUGAAGUUCAAAGUGAAGUGGGCAUGAUUAGCAAUGUUCAAUCAUCAAAUGAAUGGAGCAAUUUUAGGGAUACCAAAGCUAACCAAAUGUUUGCUGAUUACCAAGCGAGACGUGGUCAAUGUAUGAUAAAUUCUAUCAUCAAUGCAUGCUCAAAUUUAUGAUAUUUGGUGUUGCUCCUUAAUAUUUUACUGAUAACCUUUGUGAACUUUUUUCUUGUAGAAUAUGGAGAAGGGCAAGAAGUCAGUCUCGAGCAGGGGUUACAUUUGUUGGAAUGACGACAUGAAUAAGGCUCUUCUUGACACAUUUGUGGAGUACUAUAACAAGGGUGACACAUGCCAAAAUGGGUGGAAGUCUCAUGUCUAUACAACUUCUAUCAAGAAUAUCCGAGAAAAGUGUAAUGUGGAUAUCACAAAAGACAACAUCAUGGCAAGGAACAAGACCUUUGACAAACACUACACUAUCAUCAAUGGUAUGUUGGAAUCAAGUGGAUUUGGUUGGGAUUGGAACAAAAAUAAAAUAUCUGUUGAUAGUGAUUCUGUAUGGGAAGAAUAUGUGACGGUAAGUUUCAAAAACCACUGAUUUACUUGCUUAACUUGCUUCUCUUUACAAGCAGUUUUCAUUUUGUUAGACACAAUCACAUAUGAGGUUAUCCUUAUUUUACACAUGGUAUGGUAUGAAUCUACUAGGUGGGCUUGGCAUAUAAUUGAAAGAUUUUUUGUACUCUAUCUAAAGUGGCAAUGAUUGUUUCAUCAAAACUUAUUGUUCCUGAAAACUUAUUGGCAUAUAAUUGAAAGUUUCUAUCUAUUGUUGAAAACAGUGUGUAGUGAAUUAUGUUCGUUACCUGUGUUCCUAAACAAUUAUGUAUGCAUCCUUGUCCCUGUAUGUUUUGUUACUUUUUUUAUUGAUAGUGUGGCAUCUUUAGGUUGUUCUUGAAAUGAAAGUAUACUUUCACUGCACAAGAAUUUAUUGGCCAGAAUAGUGGCUUGUAUUGGUCAGAUCCUAGUCAGCAAGUGCACGUCUCCUACAAGGCUGAGAAUCUUGCGUGAGGAAACUAGAGAGACCACUAGCAUGAACAAUGCCUCUCCAUACUCUGCAAUUUUUGAACUUUAGAUGCACCUGUCUCUUUGCUAGAAUUGCAAAUUAAGUAUGAAACAUGAAUCGACAUCAUUUAGUAUUGUUGUGCAGCACCAUACAAUGGUUUUGUGGUUUUGUGGAUUCUAGAAAAGGAUUCUCACAAAUGAUAGUUGCCAGUUAUACCUUUUGUUGCCAGUUCUACAAAAGGAGCCAUGGAUGUGUUUCAAUUUGUAGAUAUUCAUUGUGCAAAAUGCGACUAGAGCUUCUAGUACAUGUAUUUCUAAUAGUAGAAGCCAUGCAGAAGUUCCUGUAUUUGAACUACAGUAUGUAAACUGAUCUAUAUGUGUCUAAACUGGUCUGUAUGUGAACUACAAUGAUUGUACUUCUAUUUGGGUUCAGUACAUACUUGCUCUACACUUGUUUUCUAACCAAGUACAUUUAUUUUCUGUAGAAAAAUAAAGAAGUUACUGGGUACAGGCACAAGACUGUCUUGUACUGGGACUCAAUUAGCUUGGUGUUUGGCAAAGGCCAUGCUACUGGUGAAGCGGCAAAGACUGUGGCUGAGAGCUCAAAAAAUAUGAGUAAGGAAUAUCUUAGUAACAAAGAACCCACAUCAUCGGCAACUUCAGGAAGUUUAAAGAGGCAACGAUCAGGUGACUCUUUUACCUCUAUGAUAGCUGAAAAAAUGGACAAGUUUGCUGAAGCACUCAAGGAGGAAGCCCUAAAGGCCUAACAUCAAAAGAAAUUCUAGACACACUGAAUGAGGUACAAUGAUUGGAUGAAGACACUUUGUUGGACCUAUUUGAUAUCCUGACCGGUGAUGCACGCAAGUAUGAGUCUCUGUUGGCGCUUCCGGAGAAGAUGAGGAAGAGGUGGCUCCUAAAACAGCUCAAGAAGUGAAAAAAUUAGUUCAUAUAUAAAUUAUACUAUCAAGUGAUGGAUAAUGUCUAUUGAACUUCCAUUGCCUUGUAAUAAUAUGUGGCUUCAACUAUAUGAAAGUUUAGAUACUAUGUCUGUAUUGCUUGCAUUGUCAAGAUAAUAUGUUUAUCAUGAUCUCAUACUAUGUCUGUCAUGAAAGUUUAGAUAAUAUGUGGCUUCAACUUGUCAUGAUUGUAAUCUCCUUUGACAUGUUGCAAGUAAUCAGAUAUGUCUGCCAGGAUUGCAUUGUCAAGUAUGAAUGUAUAUCAGCAUUGUAGGGAGAGAAGCUUAUCUGCUUUUUGGAGAUAAACAUUCAAAUUACUGGUGUAUGACGGGAUGAAAUACUCUAGUGUUCACCUGGUUGGAAGGAUGAGAGGGAGAUGAGAGAGAGAGUUUGGAAGAGAGAGAGGUGAGAGUUCGGAUGAGAGAGAAAGCAGCUUAGAAGGAUGAGAGAGAGAAAGCGGUAUUCAGCUGGAUGGUGGAAAUUUUAUAUAUUACUAAUAAUGCAUCCAAACAAUAUUUGGAAUUUAAUUCUAAGAAAAACUUCCUUUGUACAACCAAAUAAGAAAAUUCAAUUGAAUCAAAUUCUACGGAAUCCAUUUCCUAUGGAAUCUAAUUGCUAGAAUAUGAUUCAUGGAAUGAGUUUCAAUUCUAGGGAAACAAACGGGCCAUGGUCUUCAUUCCCAAGGAAAGCUUGAGGCUCUGCAAUAUUACACAACAAUGAAGUCAAGAGGGUUGAUCCCUGAACCAAGGACCAAGAUACUGGUGAAAGCUAUACAUAUGAAGAAAGAUGGGGCUGUCAUAGAAGAUCAGUCUGCAAAUAUGACAGGGAAGAAUCUAAAACUGGAUCCACGAUCUAGACUAUUCCAUGUUCAUAAAUAGUUUGCUGUCAGAUCUUACUUCUAUGUGUCAAAAGAAUCUCUUCGACCAGUGUCCAGAUCACAAUGGUCACACCUUGGGCUACAAUAAAUCAUCAGCAAAGUGUAUUGGCAUUAUGUAUCCCAGAAAGUUUUGCUCAGACUUUCAAUGCCAGGGUAUGUUUUUUAUGUCUGAUAUGGAUCAAUUGCAGGUACUGUAUUACACGCUCGUAUUAUGAAGGUUAUGUGAAAUAUGACAGAUGUUUGUUUAUUCAUCUGUUAUGCAUGGCUGUGUCUACUGUCUAGUUGUUGGCUUGUUGCCAACAUAUGCAGCAGCAGGUAGCUUCAGCCGCUCAGAAGCCCAAAUGAAGGAUGGCCCAGGCAGAAUAGCUAUGUCCAGACCCAGAAAGCUUAGGACAUGUCUUGCCAGCCUGCAGUUUUGUACUCGUAGCACCAACCAUCUCCGGGUUCUGGCCGGUUAUAUACAUGGUCUGGAAUGGGCAUCCGCUGAUCGAUUGAAACCUUGAGUUGCUUCCGUGUGUCUUUUGCCAUCUAUAUAUUAUGGUUAGUCAACGGCAUGCAGUACACCCAUGCAUAUGAUUGCAGUAGGAUGACAUGGCGUGACCAGAACCCUUCUUUUGCCAGUUUUAGAUUCUUAUACACGGCCAACUGACGCAGCAGGGAGUUGCAUGCUAAGCAGUUCAGCGUAGGUGGUGAGUUCUCAACUCUGAUAUGGCUUAUGGAAGAACACUGUCACGGUGUCACCUAGCCGGUUGGAGGCCAACCUCUUACUAGGGACAGCAAUGGCCCUGUCCGGCCACUGUUUCGUGGCUGGUAUUAUUACCCCUAUGCAGUGAAUAUGACAUGUGGAUCUAUGUGUAUAUUAUGUCGUCAAAAGAACAUUAUAUGAACCGUUGAUCCACCUUUGAUUCUAUUAAUGUGUCAUGGUCAAUUGAUGUCAAACUCUAUUAUCUUCAAGUCUUACUGUAUUGAUAAAAUCACGAUGCUGCUACUGCCAUUUUGAUGUUUAUAAAAGGGUAUUGAGAACCUGGUGGGUAUCCAUUCGAUGCGCAGGGUUGGGGGUGGGGAAAAAUGAGUGUAAAGGACAGGGAUGCAGUAUUUAGAAAGAUGAGGCUGGCACAGAAAAUAGUCUCCAAGUAUGGCAGGGAAGAAUCUAAAACUGAAUCCUUGAUCAAGACUGUCCCAUAUUCAUAAAUAGUUCACUGACAGAUCUUGCUUCCAUAUUCUGAACAGCUGAUGCUGGGCACAUAGGAGGUUAACCGGUCAGCGGAUCAAAGAAAAUCCACAAUGGCCUCAUCUUGGGUUAGAGACAAUCAUCGGUAAAGAAUCAUAUUGCCGGAUAAGGAUAUCUGUGAUUGGUGGGUGCAGAUCCAUGCUCAUUCAAGAAACACAUGAUUCUUUACGGAUGAUCAUCUCUCAGCACACCCUGCUGAUAAGGUUAUCUGAGAUUGGUGGGUGCAGAUCCUAGAAACAAGCUAGGGCUGAAUGCGCCGCUGUACUUGGAUGUUGUGGUGACACCGUAAUGAUUGUGUGUUUAAUGGAGUUUUCCAUAGUGACUAGCGUGCAGGCCGUCCUCGUAUUUGAGAAAAAAAUCAAUGGGCGAAAUAUUUUCACCCAGGUAAUUGUUGCAUUGUAUGAAUAGGCUUAGAUACCUGGUUAAAGUAUGGUGCGUGUACUGUGACACAAGAAGAUUUAUCAUAUCUAUCUAUGAAUUAGUGUUAAAACUCCUACAUAAAUAUCUUCUCUUAUCUCACUUUAUGUAUAUAUAUGACACAGAAGCACAUGUAUAUCGGCAUUGUAGAGAUAGAGAUGAGAGAGAAGCUUAUCUGCUUUUUGGAGAUAAAUAUUCAAAUUACUAGUGUAUGAGAGGGAUAGAAUUAUUCUAUCAUAUUGUUUAUUCAACAUCUAAAAAGAUUCCAUGUUUAGUCAUCUAUAUCGGCGUUGUAGAGAGAGAGACUAGUGUUCAUCUGGUUGGAAGGAUGAGAGAGAGAGGAGAGAGUUUGGAUGAGAUAGAGAGAUAGUGUUCAGCUGGUUGGAAGGAUGAGAGAGAGAGAGAGGAGAGUUUGGAUGAUAGAGAGAUUAGUGUUCACUUGGUUGGAAGGAUGAGAGGGAGAUGAGAGAGUUCGGAUGAGGAGGUAGAGAGUUCGGAAGAGAGAGAGAGGUGAGAGUUCGGAUGAGAGGUGUGAGAGAGGUGAGAGUUCGGAUGAGAGAUAAAAUAGCUUAUAAGGAUGAGAGAGAGAGAAAGCGGUAUUCAGCUGGAUGGUGGAGACUUCAUAUAUUACUAAUAAUGCAUCCAAACAACAUUUGAAAUUUAAUUCUAAGAAAAACUUUCUCGGUAAAUCAAAACAAGAAAAUUCAAUUGAAUCAAAUUCUACGGAAUCCAUUUCCUACGAAAUCUAAUUGCUAGAAUAUGAUUCAUGGAAUGAGUUCCAAUUCUAGAGAUCCAAACGGGCCCUAAGAGAAUUGUAGUGAUCAACUCCCAAGUUGCAAUAUAUUCUAGGAAAUAGGUGGUUAUGAGGAUGAUACCUGCAGACAAUACUUUUUAUCCCUCAAUUCUUACAGAGAAUUGCACUAUCAACUGCAUUUUCAUUUGUGCCACGCUGCUCAGCUAUAAAAAACGGGGCAAAUCGACCAAAAUAAAUGAAUAAACCACAUGGUUUAGACUGGUGGCAUAUGUAUGUCUGAUGAGUUUAGAAUCCCAACAGACCUCUGUUUGCUUAUCCAACAGGAGGGAAAAAGUUUACUUACUAAAUCAGCUUUGCAUGUCAGGCUGCAAUUGUUAGAGAGUAGAAUUGGGUAAUUUGUGAACAUAAUUGAAUCAAAGUUUUGUCUCAGACUAGUAAUAGAAAAUGGUGAUGCUCCAUAGCUAGAACAACACGUUCCUACACUAGUUUAAAAAAUCCCCUGAAAUUGGGAACAAUGGUAAAGCCCAAACCAUACUUGGAACUUGGAAGGCCGCUGGCGGAUGUCAAAGUCAAAAACAGAAGCAGACAACGACGUCUCACCAGAUCACGAAUCAGAUGCGAUGCAUAUACAUGUUGCAGGCAUUAGCACGCAUCCCUUAGGAUUAAACAAUUCAGCAAGUAGCUCCCCUGCUGACCAAGAAAAGCAAGCUCUGUCUCGCAGCAAGCUCUUCAAUACGCUCCAGCCCAGCUCUACCAUGGCAUUUGCAAUGCGCGUCAUGAGCUUGCUUCCUGCCACCAUCGCCGUGAUGAUCGCAGCGGCCUCCUGGGGAGCGCACGGCGGUGCCAGCGACGAGGCCAGCGCGCUGCUUGCUUUCAAGGCUGAGCUCGCCGGCAGCGGCUCCGGCAUGCUUGCAUCCUGGAAUGGCACCGCUGGCGUCUGCAGCUGGGAGGGCGUGGCGUGCACCAGCGGCCAGGUGGUGGCACUGAGCCUGCCCUCUUAUGGGUUCGCCGGAGCCCUCUCCCCGGCCAUUGGGAACCUCACUUUCCUGCGGACCCUGAACCUGAGUUCCAACUGGUUCCAGGGGGAGGUCCCAGCAAGCAUCGGCCGCCUAGCGCGUCUGCAGACGCUUGAUCUGAGCUACAAUGCGUUCUCUGGUACGCUUCCUUCCAACCUCAGUUCCUGUGUCAGCUUACUGCUGUUAGAUCUCAGCAGUAACCGGUUCCAUGGGCGUAUCCCUGUUGAGCUUGGAGACAAGCUAACAAGUCUUCAGAAGUUCUCACUGGGCAACAACAGCUUGACGGGUGCCAUGCCAGGAUUACUAGGUAACCUGUCAUCCCUGAACUACCUUGAUCUGAGAAAAAACCACCUCGAGGGUCCGAUCCCACAUGAACUCGGCAGCAUGGGCGGCCUGCAGGUCCUUUUACUCCAUGACAACAGACUCUCCGGUGUGCUUCCACACUCCCUGUACAAUCUGUCCUCACUGAAAAAGUUGGGGGUAGGAGACAACAUGCUGUCUGGAACCAUCCCUGCUGAUAUCGGCGAUAGGUUCCCCGGUAUGGAAGCUCUUGACUUUUCUAGCAACCGAUUCAGUGGAGCUAUCCCACCUUCGCUCGGCAACCUCUCUGCUCUCACAAAACUAAUCCUUCAAGAAAAUGGUUUUAUUGGAUAUGUGCCUUCUGCUUUGGGAAAGUUGCAAAGUCUUACUGCCCUUUUCUUGGGUGUUAACAGGCUAGGAGCAAACGACAGUCAAGGGUGGGAAUUCAUCACUUCACUGGCAAACUGCUCCCAGCUUCAGGUUCUUGUUCUCGGCAACAACUCUUUCAGCGGGCAACUGCCUAAUUCAGUCACAAACCUGUCAUCAACUCUGCAAGGUCUUUAUUUGGGAGACAAUAUGAUUUCUGGGAAUAUUCCAAUAAACAUCGGAAAUUUGGUUGGUCUUACAGUAUUUGUGAUGGGAAAUACUUCUGUAUCUGGACAGAUUCCAGAGAGCAUUGGUCAGCUAAGAAACUUGGGUGUGUUAGGCCUUUACAACACUAGCUUGUCAGGCCUCAUACCUUCGUCACUAGGAAAUCUUACACAGUUGAAUAGGCUUUAUGCAUACUAUGGAAACUUAGAGGGGCCAAUUCCAUCAAACUUGGGGAACUUAAAGAAUGUGUUUGUCUUUGAUCUCUCAACAAAUCGACUCAAUGGUUCAAUUCCUAUAGAGGUUUUAAAACUUCCUCAACUUUCAUGGUACUUAGACUUAUCAUAUAAUUCAUUAUCCGGGCCACUUCCAAUUGAGGUUGGUACCAUGGUGAAUCUUAACGAACUGAUUCUGUCUGGAAACAAGUUGUCAGGCACCAUACCAGCUAGUGUUGGGAACUGUAUAUCGUUGGUACGGCUGCUGCUCGAUAACAACUUAUUAGAAGGAAGCAUACCUCAAUCUCUGAAGAACAUAAAAGGUCUUGCAUUACUGAACCUAACAAUGAAUAAGCUAUCUGGUAGUAUUCCUGAUGCCCUUGCUAGCAUUGGCCACCUGCAACAACUGUAUCUUGCACACAACAACUUGUCAGGUUCCAUCCCCAAAGUUCUACAGAAUUUGACAUUGUUGGCAAAACUGGAUUUGUCCUUCAAUGAUCUGCAAGGCGAAGUGCCAAAAGGGGGUCCUUUUGCAAAUGCAACUCACUUGUCAAUUGAUGGAAAUGAUGAGCUUUGUGGCGGAAACCCUCAACUUCAUUUAGCUCCGUGCUCCACAGCAGCUGCGGGGAAGAACAGAAGGCGAAUGUCAAGAUCACUUAUGGUCACCGUAGCGUCAAUCUGCGCACUUCUAUUCUUAGGUUUAGUAGUUUGUCUUAUCCAUUUGAUCCACAAGAGGCUCAGACAAGGAAAGGAAAAUCAACUCAUUCCCACAGCAAUUGAUGAACAGCACGAAAGGGUUUCAUAUCAAGCAUUAGCAAAUGGGACUGACCAUUUUUCGCAGGUUAAUCUGCUCGGACAAGGAAGCUAUGGUGCAGUUUAUAAGUGCACUUUACAAGACAAGGGAAUUACCGCAGCUGUAAAGGUAUUCAACGUGUGGCAAUCUGGGUCUACUAGAAGUUUUGUGGCUGAAUGUGAGGCACUGCGAAGGGUGCGCCACCGAUGUCUCAUAAAGAUCAUCACCUGUUGCUUAAGCAUUGAUCACCAAGGCCAAGAAUUCAAGGCACUGGUUUUUGAGUUCAUGCCCAAUGGUAACCUAAAUGGUUGGCUGCAUCCAGCAUCCAAAAUACAGAGUCUGAGCAAUACGCUCAGCUUAGCUCAGAGACUGGACAUUGCGGUAGAUAUCAUGGAUGCUUUGGAUUAUCUUCACAAUCAGUGUCAACCGCCUAUUAUCCAUUGUGAUCUCAAACCAAGUAACAUCCUCCUUGCCGAAAGUAUGAGUGCUCGGGUUGGAGAUUUCGGCAUAUCAAAAAUCCUUCCUGAUGACACUAGCAAAACUAUGCUGAAUUCGGUUAGCUUCACUGGACUAAGAGGUUCCAUUGGAUACGUCGCUCCAGGUAACAGAAACUAACACUGAUAUUGCUAUGUUCAGUUUUUAACUUCCAUUUUGCCAAGUCCAGUUAUCUCGGCAUGAAUCGUUCGUAAGUAGCUUGCCAUGAAUCCACUGACCAAAUAGUUUCUGAAAUCUGAAUUGACUGCAGAGUACGGCGAGGGUCGCGCCGUCUCAACUCUUGGAGAUGUUUACAGCCUCGGCAUACUGUUGCUUGAGAUGUUCACCGGGAUGAGCCCUACUGACGACAUGUUCAAAGGCUCCUUGGACCUUCAUAAGUUCGCCGAGGCCGCUCUCCCCGACAGAGCCUUGAAGGUAGCCGACCCGGCAAUCUGGCUUCAUGAAGAAGCAAAGGGGGAAGACCCGGCCACGGUGAGAAGCAGAAGCGAGAGGUGCUUGGCUUCAGUGGUCGGGCUUGGCGUGUCCUGCUCAAAGCAGCUGCCAAGGGAGCGGACGGCGAUGCGGGAUGCUGCCGCUGAGAUGCGUGCGAUCAGAGAUGCCUUCCUGGUUCAAUGUGCAACAGAGACUUGGCCUGCAGUCGGCACCAGCGGCCUUGGAAGCACAGACACUUGAAUGGUGGACGGAGCUACGGUCUCUUGACGCACCAAGGAGCCACCGGACUAGCUGCUCUGCAACUAACAGGGUGGAGAAAGCGCCCCUUAAUGAAAAGAAAAACAGCCGGUGCAAGGCUUUAUACAAAGAAUGUGACAGCCACUGCGUGUAUCCGAGAGCCUUAUCUAAUCUACCGAGGAUUGUUAUGUAUGGAUGCGUAUAGAUUAUGCACGGACUCCUCCGUCCCAAAAUAAACGCACAUCUUGCUUCUUGAGGAGUCAAACUUCUAAGUUUGACUAAAAUUUAUAAAAAAAAUGUACUACUAUUUAUAAUGUAUAAUAAAUAUCAUUAGAUUGAGCAUUGGGUAUACUUUCUUAAUACAUUUAUUUGAAGAUGUAAAUGUUGAUACUAUUUUUUAUAUUCUUAGUCAAAUUUAAAAAUAUUUGACUCAUCGAGAAGCGAGAUGUGUGUUUAUUUUGGGACGAAAGGAGUACCCGUCACCGGGAUUAGUCAUGAUAUAAGAUUAGUCACGAUAUAAGUAGGGAUUAGCAAGCACCAAAACCCCAUUCACUGCCCAUCGAUCGCUCAAAUAAAAGAAACCAUUGCAUAUGGUGGCGAUGCGCUCGCGGGCCUUUCUCCAACCUUUCUGCUCUCGCGGGUCUUGAACUUGCAUGGAACAGUUUUAGUAAAGCUGCCUCCAACUUUAGGGAGAUUGCCAAGGUUCAUUUACCUGUCCUUAAGUGGCAAUAAGUUAGGAUCGAAUGAUAAGGACGGAUUGGAAUUCAUCACCAUGCUGGCAAACUUCAGCCAGCUUCAUCAACUGGCUUUUGACAAUAAUUCAUUCAUCGGCGAACUUCCUAGCUCAAUUGCAAAUCUAUCGACAACACACCAAUUACUCUAUAUACGAUACAAUUGGAUUUCGGGAUUUAUUCCAUCCAGCAUAGGUAAUUUGCUUGGUCUAGAACUGCUUACGUUGGCAAAUACUUUCAUAUCCGGAAUGAUUGUAGAUAGCAUUGGUCGCCUAGAAGACAUGUCCGUGUUAGGCAUUUACUACGCUAGCUUGUCAGGUAUCAUACCUUCAUCACAAGGAAAGCUUACACAGUUGAAAACUCUCUAUGCGUACGAUAGCAACUUGGAGGGUUCAUUUCCAGCAAGCUGGGGGAACUUAAAGAAUCUUUUUGUUCUUAAUCUCUCAACGAAAGUGCGUAACCCGCUAAAGUUUCAUGUCAAAGCAGAGCAUAAAUCUCUCUCAAAACUGCAAAACUAUCAUAAAGCAGAUCAGUCUGAGGGCUAGCCUAUGCCCUAUCAACGCCUCCCUUCUUGCCCUUUUGGUAAGAUUACCCCAAACUAGAGUCUAUAAUUAAUUAGCUAAGACUAGAGCCACGUAGUUCUUGUGGUUGUACUGUUUUCCUGAGUGGUCGCUCCAUGUUCCAAUUAAGCAUGAUGAUCUUGUAUUAAUAAAAGGUAUAUCAUAAAUAAAACAAGUUUAAUCAUUGAGUUCAUUAAAACCAUCACAAUCCAAGGUAUUGCAACUAAGCAUAUCUACCUUAAAAAAAGGUAAAACCCAGGUUGACAAGGAAUGAUCAUAAAAACUAGGUAAACCUUAAUAGGACCUAUCAAUAUUAAAUGUAGAGCAAUGCAAAAGUGAUUAAAUAUAGUUUUUGGGAUAAAAGUAUAAGGACACACGUGCCUUUCUCCAAAGAAUAGCUGCUCAGAUUAUCUUCCGCUCUUGUUCCUCAAAGCUCUCGAACAAUGUUCCUUCUACUUGCAUCAAUCAUCGGCACAAGCAUACCAAGCAAACAACAAUCACAACUAAGAACAAUACAUCAAUCAUUGGAAAGCUUUAAAAGAGCGUACUAAAGGAUAAGGCUUGAAUCUAAGGUCACGCGAAUGCAAGAAACGCUGGGAACAAAACUAUGGUUGAAAAGACAAAGUUAUCGAGAGAUUUGAAUUAUAAAAGAAAGAGAAAAGCAUAUGUGCUUCAUAUAUUUUAAUAAAACAAUGUAAAGAUAUUUUAGAGAAACAUCCUUAGCAUGUUAUAGUUAUGUAUGAAAAGACAAUGUAGAACUUAGUCAAAUUUUAUUAUAAACAUUCAAGUACAAUUUAUGCAAAUUAAAAAUUUAAUUUGAAAAUAAAGUAUAUGUAAACAUCUAAGCGCAUAGCUUUAUGAUUUAGGUUGAACUAACCAAAUAUAAUUAAAAACACAUUUAUAUUUAUAUUAAAUCAAAUUAACAUAUAAUUAUGAAAACUCGAGAUAUAAAUUAUGUAGCUUUUAUUUAGAAAACAAAUUGAAUAAACAUUUUAAUUAAAGAAGACAUGUUUAACAUGCAUUAAUUAGAUUAAUAUUAAAUUUAUUUUAAAAACAUGCAUGAUGGAAAGAUCGGCACUAACGUGUAAUUUGUGAUUCAGGUUGAACUAACCAAAUAUAAUUCAAAAACACAUUUAUAUUUAUAUUAGUCAAAUUAACAUAUAAUUAUGAAAACCCAAGAUGUAACUUAUGUAGCUUUUAUUUAGAAAACAAAUUGAAUAAACAUUAAUCAAUUUAAGUUUAAUUAUGAACCACCGUGGUGCAUCUCUAAUUCGCUUUUAAUUGAAAGAGUUAUUUAAAUAAGCAUUAAUAACUAAAUUAACAUUUAUUAUGAAAAGCGGUUAUAACACUAAGUAGCUUUUAAUUAAGGAAGACAUGUUUAACAUGCAUUAAUUAGAUUAAUAUUAAAUUUAUUUUAAAACAUGCAUGAUGGAAAGAUCACUACUAACAUGUCCUAAGAAUGGAUAUAAACGGAGCUGUAAUGAGGAGUCCAUGGGUUAAACAAGGUUGCAGGGCCUAAUCGCGAUUAACGGAAGGUUAUUGGGGCUAGCAAGGAAGAUUUGCAAGACACUGGAAUAGAGCUCACCAUUAGGUCAAAGCAUAGGGUUAGAUAUGUUAAAGUGCUCAGGUUAGACUUGGUUGCACGGAUCCAAUCUAAUCAGGGACAUGGAUGAAAAAAAACAAGACACAAGGAAAAACUAACUAUUUGUAGAGCUUUAUAGGGGCCUAUGCGCAAAAGCACCACAGCUCAGCAUCCAUGGUGGACGGGCUCCUGGAUGGCAAAACCCUCGUGUCAGAUUUAUAAGCCUGGUAGUCCACCAAGGGAUUCCCCAAGUGGUUGAUUUGUAGAUGAGGGUGAUUGUGAAACCAAGAACUCGAAGGUGGUCGCGAGAACACGAAGGGACACUUAGACAAGUUCGGACCUUCGGAGAGUAAUACCCUACGUCCUAUAUGCUGGUUUGUAUUGCUUGAGAUUGAUCUAAUUGUUGCGAUACCCUCGGGGGUGCCCUUGGCCGCCUUAUAUAGGCUGACGAUCAAGAGUUAAAAGUCGGUUUGAAUCUAAUCUACUCGGUAGUUACAUGGAAAGUAAUCUGAGUUGGACUACAAUAUGUGUUCCAUGAUAUCUGGGCAGAUUUGAACUAUCUUAUUGCCUUGACUUGCACUCCAAGUAACUUUAUGUCCUCGGCCCGCACGCUCUGAUCGGGCAGGCCCUACUUGUUAGUCCGACCAGUAUCCUGGCCGGUCAGGGCCCAUGGGGUACCCAUAUCCCUUAAGGCCCCAAGCAUUGUGUAGGCAAACAGGAACUUGAUGUCAUCAAAGUGAAACUUGGAAUGAAAUCGGGUGAAGCUGACGAAGAGCCAACGCGUAGAGCGAGGAUGAGUGCCGAGUUGAUGGAUGCUGGCAUCCAGCAGGUCGAAGCGAAGGUUACGGAGGGCGUCGCAAGACGCACUCUGUAGGAGUAGCCCCGGAGCAUUGAAACAAUUAAGAUAAUCAAUACAAUGGUCAAAGAGGAAAAAAUUGUCCCCUGAAGUAGAUCCUUGUGCCCGAACACAAGGAUGGACGCAGCCACGGAGGCCCGCCAACCAGAAGUAGGCACCUAGACUCAAGGACGAGGACUGGUGGGACUGUGGAGCCAUGCCGACCUGAAAUAGGCAUCUAACCCCUGAGGACGAGGACUAGCAGAGCCGCAGAGGCAUGCUAACCUGAAAUAGGUGCCUAGCCCCCGAGGAUGAGGACUGGCGGAGCCAUGAAGGCACGCCGACUUGAAAUAGGUGCCAAGCCCCCAAGGACGAGGACCAGCAGAGCCACGAAGGCACUCUGACCAGAAUUAGGCGUCCAGCCCCCGGGCAUGAGUGCGAGGAUUGGCGGAAGCACAUCGAGUUGCCUCCCUUCCCGGGCUCAGGCAGAGAGGUUGGUCGGGUGACGAGAGGCACACCAAGUCAUCAAUGGUGCCCAGCCGCCGAGCCUAGGAGCCGGACGAGUUGCAAAAGCAUGGCAAGUCACCUCCCGCCCCGAGCCAGAGAGGUCGGCUGGGCGACGGGAGGCACGCCGAGUCAUCUACGGUGCCCAGCCCCCGAGCCUUGGAGCCGGCUGAGCCACAGAAGCACGCCAAGCCGCCUCCCGCCCUGAGCUAGAGAGGUCGUUUGGGUGACAAGAUGCACGCCGAGUCGUCUGCGGCGCCUAGCCCUCGAGCUUGGGAGCCAGACGAGCCACAGAAGCAUGCCAAGUCGCCUCCUGUCCCGUGCUAGAGAGGUCAGCCGGGUGAUGGGAGGCACGUCGAGUAGUUUUUGAGCUAUAAAAGAACAAUACAAUCAUUAUGUAGCAUAAUGUAGAUCAUUUAAUCAUUGAACAACUCGGAAGUUUAAUUCGCUGUAGAAGUAAACUCUUGCGCAUCCUGCUCUUAUAGGCCAAGUAAUUUCCCUAGGUAGUUAUCUUGUUACGUUUAAGCACCUAGCCCUACUGACCACUGUUCACGGAGAGGAUGGUUUAUCUUAGGCUAUAGUGCUGGGGCUGACCCGAUGCUCGCAUAUAGGAACGCGCAGGAUGAGUCAAGGUUUCACGGAUUAAGGCGUGUGCUACCCGAGUACUUUAGCAACCGUUAACAGGGAUGGACAAGUCGCAAAGCAACCGGAACUGUGCGGAAAAGCACCAGCAUGAGUUGGGCACCCAUGGGGUGUAGCCCCCGGCCGCCCGUGUAGUGGACGGAACAAAAGUCACGACAACAUGGAGGAGCCGAGGCUUAUGUAGGUAUAUGGAAGCUGUAAAAUAUUUUAUUGUAAAUAAUACUUAGCUUGAUUCGUGGUCGAGUCAAAGAACCCGCGUGUCAUCUUCGCGUUUAGUCUUAGAAGCCCCUGAGCGUGGUCGGCGGACAGUUGUUGGUGAAGCAAACUAGUCGGGCUCCAUGCCCAACUAAUUCGUGUCGAGUUCGAGUUGUUGGAGUUGUCAGCGGCAGGUUUGUGGUUGCGAUUGUGGUAUGCUGUUGCCAAGUCGAUGUGGCCAUCGGGUCGUGUCCGGCUGGCCGCUACGCUCACAGUACAGCAUGUCUGGGUUGUGCUGCCAAACCAAGGGUGCAUGUACAUCUUUUCGAACCUUGCAAGGAAGCCCUCACGUAUUAAGGAAAUCUAUACCUAAUAUUAAAGCUCCCGCAGCGUGCGCCUAUGCCACGUGUGGUGUGGACGGGUGUGCCGGCUGCGGCUGCGAGCUCCUCACUGCGGCAGGGACCAGGUCGAGCAGCGACAGUGAUGACGAAGGGGAGUAGUCCGCGUCUGCGUGCCAUGCCACCAUCGCCGGGCAAGGUGUGGCAGCGGCGGAGGGGGAGAGUGAGUACAUCGGCGUGCAGCGGCGGCCGUGGGGUAGGUGGGCGGCGGAGAUCCGCGACCCGCACUACGCCGUGCGCAAGUGGCUCGGCACCUUUGACACAGCUAAGGAUGCCACGCGCACCUACAACAUCACCGAUGUCGAGUUUUGAGGCCACUGCACCAAGAUCAACUUCCCCGACAACACGGCCCCCGCGCCCGCACCUUCCUGGGUGCCAAACUCGACAUACCACCACCACGACCACUUGCCGCUGCCGCUGCCCGAGAGCCUACACGAGACCUGCGGGGCGAACGCAUCCUCGUCGAUGGAUGUGGCUCUUGCGGUAGCGGCGUCGGCCGAGCAGCACGGCACGAGGCCGGUGCCGAAGGAGCAGGACAUCUGGGACAGGCUGAACGAGUUCAUGAUGAUGGAUGACGGUAGCUUUUGGUCACCCAUGCUAUGAUCAUCACAUUCUCCUCCAUUCUCCUCUUGUUUUCACUUUCGUUGCUUAGCGGAUAAUGGUGGUCAGCUGGCCUCUGGUCUGUCGUCAAUCGCCAGCCAUCCAUCGCUUUUAUAUGGUUUUGCACUAGCUUUUGGGCUUUGACCACACCCUCCACACCCAUACGAAAUGACUAGGUAGAGUGAUGUUGAUAUACUGCUUGCCGCGCGCUAGGGCGAGCAGCUACUCACUCGGGCUAGAUGCCCUACCCGCCACCUGGACCUAAGAGGUGAAGGAGAGAGGAGGGAGGGGGAAGGAAACAAGGAGCCGAGUGCCUCUUUGCAGUCAACCAAGUAGAGCCAUAUGCCAGCGAAGGCAUGGCGCCAGCGAGGGGGGGGGGCGCAGCGGCAGUCGGUAGGCAACACAAACAGGGGGCGGAGGUCGGGACCUCACAUCCCCCUCUCAAUGAUGUCCAUCCCCUUCAUAUCCAGAACUAAAGCCUCCACAUCUAGCAAUUGGGGGCUCGAUUUUGCACUUGAUUGGAACGAUUUGGAGUGGAUUAUAGAAGGGAAGUGGAUGGAAACGAGAAGAAGAGGAAAACACACUCCUGCUCAUGGCGGCCAGAGGCGCGGUGGCCUAGGUCUCGAAGCAGGAAUGAGGCUAGGCACGGGAAGGACGAGCGUUUGCCUAGGCGACGGUGAGGAUGGCAAGAUGCGUAGCGCCUGGAUGAUGGCGAAGAUAGGGCAUGAUGCGGGUGGCGCCGACGGACGAAGUGGCAUCGACUAGCUAGAUGACGAUGAGUACGGGGGAAAUCGAAUGAAUGGAUAGAGCGGAGGUUGAGCGGUGAUUUUUUUUUAUUUCCAUGUGUGGGUCCCAUGUAAUAAACAGAUGGCAUCAAACCACCCACAAAUAUCUUCUACUACUGUACUGGGAUAACGCAUCAACAUAUGGUGAAGCGAAAUCAACAUAUUAGGAACAAGCAAAUAAUAAUGUGAGAGUAAGUAAGGACUUGUAGCAACGUACAUGUAUUUCUGCUAGUAAGAAAAAAAAUUGUUAGCUGCCGUAGUAAGCACCAAGCAACGUAGGAGAUCUACUGGAUGGAAUAGAUUAAAUAAUAAAGGGAAGGGAGAAUUGUUCCUUUUUUUUGGCAGAUCCGACGUGUCUGCAUGCAACAAGUUGAGGUCGACGUGUUGUGCUAAAUCAACCGGAUCAGACUGGGGCCGGAUCAGGCGAGCUUGGCUGUGGCCGGGAUGAGGCCAAUAAGGGCGUCGCCCUUGACCUUGGCCUCCUGUGCCUCGCGGAUCUUCUACAUCUGGAGCAUCUGCUCCAUGAUGAGCUCGUAGUGGCACUUCUUGUAGGCGUGGCGCUCGGGCUCGCACUUCCAGCGGAGGUAGAACUCGGAGGUGCACGCACUGGUCGUGGUAGGCGAGCGGCACCAAGGCCUCCGCCAUCUCCACCUGCGUGAUGAUCUGGGGCUUCGUGGAGUCGAACUGAAUGCCGGCCAUUGCCGCCGCCUCCAUCUGUCACUUUCUUGCCCUCUCUCUUGCCGGCGAGGUCGUUCCGUUGAUAGAUGGGUGCUGCGGGUUUGGUGCGGCGUGGGUGGGUGGUGUGCAGCAAGGACGUGAGGAACCCUCUCGGAGAGAGAGAUUGCUUACCUACUAGGUAAACGGUGUGAUGAUCCUUUGAUAUAGACCUUGCUCCGCCGGAGUAAAUUCGACAGAUGCCAAGCUGGCGGCGGGCAUUGAGUCGAAGUCCACCGGCAUGCUCCUGAAGUGGAGCUGGAUCGGAUUGGCGAGGAAGUCCUUCAUGCUCUUGGGGAAAACAAUGUCGGGGCGGGAUGCCAUCGAGCUCGCUAGGGAGGAUCUUACAAUCAUCCCUACCUAGCGCGCCAACUGUUGGAUUUAUAAGCCCGGUAGUCCACCAGGGGGUUACCCAAGUAGUUGAUUUGUAGGUGAGGGCAAUUGCAAAAUCAAGAACUCGAAGGUGAUCGCGAAAACACGAAGGGACACGAAGGUUUUAGAUAGGUUCGGGCCUCCGGAGAGUAAUACCCUAUGUCCUGUAUGCUGAUUUGUAUUGCUUGAGAUUGAUAUGAUUGUUGGGAUACCCUCGGGGGUGCCCUUGGCCGCUUUAUAUAGGCUGACGACCAAGAGUUACAAGUCGGUUUGAAUCUAAUCUACUCGGUAGUUACAUGGAAAGUAAUAUGAGUCAGACUACAAUACGCGUUCCAUGAUAUCCAGGCAGAUUUGAAUUGUCUUGUUGCUUUGACGUGCACUCCAAGUAACUUCAUGUCCUCGACCCGCACGCCUUGGUCGGGUCGGCCCUACUUGUCAGGUCUGACCAGUAUCUUGAGGUACCCAUAUCUCUCACCUUGGUGCUCCGGCGAUUAGGGUCAGUGGCGAGGAUGGGGAUUGGAAGAGGAGAUCGAGGGGACUUUAUGGAGAUGCUCACCGGCGACGAGGCGGACGGAUUCUGGCCAGUAUUUGGCUGGCGGUGGAAGAACACGACAGCUGGCUCAAGUCUUCGUGAGUGAUGGUACUCCGGCGGUGGAGCGACGACGACGACUGGUGGCAGAGCUGCUCCUCGAUGUCACGGAGCUCCCUAAGGCUCUAGCUUGCUCCGAUGGUCGACGAGCACAGCGAAUCGGCCAGAGAAGGACGGCAGUGGCUCCUAGCUCUGGCGGAUGUGGGGGAUGGCAGUGCUCGUGCAAGCUAGGAAGAGUGGCGGUGUGAGGCAGGGCAAUAGCAGGGGCACAAUCUCGACUUUUAUAUGUGCGUGGGUCCGCGCCUGCCUUGGCACGCAUGCCGAGGUUCGGCGGUGGCGAUGCCCAAGUGCAGCUACGCUUGGCCUCGACCCGCUGUUGGUCGAUGGGCCUAGCGGGCCUAGCCGAGCCAUCAACUGGGCCGGGUCAGUGCAGGUUAGUUGGAGAGGGUCGGGCCCCAAAGACUUGGCCCCAUCGAUUAGGAUUUUUCUUUUUUUCAGAAAUGAUUUCUCGUGAAAGAAAAAUCCAGAAAAAUUCUAGAUAAUUAAUUUAAACAAUGAAAAAACUCUAAAAAUCCAAAAAUUUCAGGAAAAAUCAUCUCUAGUUUGGGACAUGAGGAGUCCAAAUAAAAUACUUGGACCUCGUGAAAAGGAUUCUAGAACCUUCCAAAAAUUGGAUUUAGCUUUAGAAAAAAAUGAGAAUAAAUCUUAGAAAAAUCUGAAAAUUCUCAUAAGAACCUAAUCAGCAUCUAAACGCAUUCCAAAACCUUUGCACUUAUGAAAUACCAAGAUGCAUUGGUGUGAAUGCAACCCAUACACAAUCAUUAUAUUUAAUUCAGAAAAACACUCAAUUGUUUUCCUAUACUAAAUUUCCUCUUAAGAAAAUAAAUGUUGGAAAAAUUUUAAAAUUGUGAAAAAAUUAUUGUUUAAUUAUUCUUUUUAAUCAAAUCCUGAAAUUUCAAAAAUUUUAAGGUGAGGCAGAUACCCUCAGGUUUACAGAAUUUGACAUCCAUGUGCAAAUUGGAUCUAUCCUUCCAUGAUCUACAAGGUGAAGUGCCAAAAGUUUUUUUUUGGCAAAUGCAACUUACAUGUCGAUUUAUGGAAAUGAUCAGCUUUGUGGUGGAAAUACCUCAACUUCAUUUAACUCCAUGCUCCAUGUCCAGUGCAAAAAAGAAAAAAAAGGAAAUUUGUCGAAAACCCUUGUGAUCACCCUAACAUCAAUCGGUGCAGUUGUAUUCUCAGUUUCAGUACUUACUGUAAUUGUGUUGAUCUGUAAGAAGCUUAGGAAAAGGCACGAAAGUCAACUCAUAUCCACAACUGAGGAACGGUAUGAAAGAGUUUCUUAUCAUGCUUUGUCAAAUGGGACCAAUGGAUUUUCAGAGGACAAUUUACUUGGACAAGGAAGCUAUGGCAUGGUUUAUAAAUGUACUUUACAUGACCAGGGCACUACAGUAGGCUACUGUAAAGGUGUUUAACACACAACAAUCUGGGACUUCUAGAAGUUUUGUCGCUGAAUGCGAGGCACUCAGAAGGGUGCGUCCUCGUUGUCUCGUAAAGAUCAUCACUUGUUGCUCAAGCAUCAAUCACCAGGGUCAAGAGUUCAAGGCACUAGUUUUUGAGCUCAUGCCAAAUGGUAGCCUAAAUGGUUGGCUUCACCCAGAGUCUGACACACUUACCCAGACAAAUACCCUUAGCCUUGAACAAAGGCUACACAUUGCUGUCGAUAUCCUGGAUGCUUUGGACUAUCUUCAUAAUCACUGUCAGCCAUCAAUCAUUCAUUGCGAUCUCAAGCCAAGCAACAUCUUUCUUGCGGAGGACGUGAGUGAGUGCCCGAGUUGGAGGUUUUGGCAUACGAAGAAUCCUUCCAGAAAGUGCUAGUAAAACCCUGCAAAAUUCGAAUAGCACAACUGGAAUAAGAGGCACCAUUGGUUAUGUUGCACCAGGUAAUGAAAGAGAUAUUUUUGGUAUUUGUAAAAUGUUCUUAGUUCUUACGUAUACAUGACCUGCUGACCUUUGGAUUUUUUCCCCAAUCAGAGUACGGUGAAGGUUCUUCUGUCUCAACUCAAGGUGAUGUUUAUAGCCUCGGCAUAUUGCUGCUUGAGAUGUUUACUGGAAGGAACCCAACAGAUGAGAUAUUCAAUGAUUCUUUGGAUUUGCACAAGUUUUCAGAGAAUGCUCUUCCAGAGAGAAUAUGGGAUAUAGUUGAUCCGACAAUACGGAUGCACACAGAUGCCUAUAACAGCACUAUAAGAAGUGGAAUUAAGAAUUGCUUGGUUUAUGUUGUUUCUCUUGGAAUAUCAUGCUCGGAGAAACAACCUAGGGAGCGGAUCCCGAUUCUGGAUGCAGCCAUUGAGAUGCACGCUAUUAGAGAUUCGUAUCUCAAGUUUGCCAGAUCUCUUUUGGUGGAGCAUGGAGUAGUAGCAACAACUCACAGUGAUUUUCCACAACAGUGAAUACAUAGGACUGAAAAUGCGCAAGAUGUCUGCAGAUGAUCAGUUUACCUGAAAUAACUGAAGAUGUAUGAAGCUUCAGCUUUAUAAUUUGUCCAUGCAUUUGUUUGCAUCAGAUAUAUGGAAGUAUAAAAUAAGUUUAGAAAAUGUUUCAAAAUAGAUUAGAUCCAGAGGUUUUAGUUGUCGUUUGUAUGACACAUUUUUGUAGAGAAUUCAGUAAUAUGUAUGAUUCAUAAUACAAUCAAUGCUCUGCAAAUUUCAGAUAGCACAAUUGGAAUAAAAAGCUCAUUCCUUGAUUAUGUUUCUCUAGGUAACUCAACUUAUUGUGAUGUUCACUGUAGAUUUCUCCAUGGUCCAAACGACCUUUGUGAUCAGUUAUGUUUAUGCAUUUUGUAGAAUUGUAAAGUCUUUCCCUAACCUGCUGACAUAUUAGCCGGAGCAUAGCACUUUGCCGUUCUGUACCACUCGCCUCUAGGAGGCGCUUGCCGCUUGGUGGCUGCCGUGGCGACCGACGGCAUCCGUACCUGCUCUGUCGGAGAUGGGUGGAGCUGCUCUGCUCUGCCGGUACGAGCUCACUCGCGCCGUGAAUGGCGCGCGCCUCUAAGGUCUCAUCAGCUGCAGGUGCAGAUGGGUGGAGAGCUUAGCGGCGCUAGGUCUUCAGAAGAUGGGGCUUUGCAGCUCUGAAUGGUGAGGCGGGCAGGGACGACGGAGCUGGACGCGUGGGGAGGAGACGAUGGGCAUUUCUGAUAAUAGUUGGAUCGCGAUCCAAAUUAGGGGGCUAUUUACAAAUAAUAGGGGGUAUUCCGUAAAUAUUCGGAUCGCGAUCAUUAAUCGCGAUCCAAAUGAGGGGUUAAUUGAAAUUAUGAUGGGGUGUCUUUUGAAAUUCCGGAUCGCGAUCCCAUCCUCCGCCGCGGCUCGCCGGAGCGCCGCCAGACGCCGGCCAUCCCUUGGGGUACCUCUUCUUCCUUCCGCUUGUCGGAGCCCUAAGACGUGGUCGGUGUUUGAUCUGACAAGGAACCUUGAAGUCCGGACUAACUGAAGAAGACAGACAUGAUGCUGACCUGGAAGACGACGGCCUCGCCAUGGCUGGAUGCGGCGCGGUGGAAGGACAGUGUGGUGGAGGGCGUGGUCCACCACAUUCCGUCGACGGGCGGCGCACUUGCUGUCGCCUGUCGGCUACUUCCAGGCCGUAGCUGAGCUUCAGAGUUCAGACAGGGUGCUUGUGCUUGCAACAAGUUCAGAACGAUGUCAUUAAUUUGAUGCAGAGGAUGGAGCAAACCGGUUGCAAAUUGGAUUCUGAUACAUAUAACUUAAUAUUGAACCUUUAUGUCGAUUGGAAAUAUGAGAAGGGGUGCACCAAAUAUGGGAUGAGAUGGAGAGGAGUGGAUCAGGCCCAGAUCAACGAUCAUUUACUAUUAUGGUUCAUGGUCUUCAUUCCCAAGGAAAGCUUGAUGAGGCUCAACAAUGAAGUCAAGAGGGUUGAUCCCUGAACCAAGGACCAAGAUACUGGUGAAAGCUAUACAUAUGAAGAAAGAUGGGGCUGUCACAGAAGAUCAGUCUGCAAAUAUGACAGGGAAGAAUCUAAAACUGGAUCCACGAUCUAGACUAUUCCAUGUUCAUAAAUAGUUUGCUGUCAGAUCUUACUUCUAUAACCUGAACAGAGGAUUGCUGGGCACGUAUUAUGUGUCAAAAGAAUAUCUUCUACCAGUGUCCAGAUCACAAUGGCCACACCUUGGGCUACAAUAAAUCAUCAGCAAAGUGUAUUGGCAUUAUGUAUCCCAGAAAGUUUUGCUCAGACUUUCAAUGCCAGGGUAUGCUUUUUAUGUCUGAUACGGAUCAAUUGCCAGUACUGUAUUACACCGCUCGUAUUAUGAAGGUUAUGUGAAAUAUGACAGAUGUUUGUUUAUUCAUCUGUUAUGCAUGGCUGUGUCUACUGUCUAGUUCUUGGCUUGUUGCCAACAUAUGCAGCAGCAGGUAGCUUCAGCCGCUCAGAAGCCCAAAUGAAGGAUGGCCCAGGCAGAAUAGCUAUGUCUAGACCCAGAAAGCUUAGGACAUGUCUUGCCAGCCUGCAGUUUUGUACUCGUAGCACCAACCAUCUCCGGGUUCUGGCCGGUUAUAUACAUGAUCUGGAAUGGGCAUCCGCUGAUCGAUUGAAACCUUGAGUUGCUUCCGUGUGUCUUUUGCCAUCUAUAUAUUAUGGUUAGUCAACGGCAUGCAGUACACCCAUGCAUAUGAUUGCAGUAGGAUGACAUGGCGCGACCAGAACCCUUCUUUUGCCAGUUUUAGAUUCUUAUACACGGCCAACUGACGCAGCAGGGAGUGGCAUGCUAAGCAGUUCAGCGUAGGUGGUGUGUUCUUAACUCUGAUAUGGCUUAUGGAAGAACACUGUCACGGUGUCACUGUCCAACCUCUUACUAGGGACAGCAAUGGCCCUGUCCACUGUUUCGUGGCUGGUAUUAUUACCCCUAUGCAGUGAAUCUGACAUGUGGAUCUAUGUGUAUAUUAUGUCGUCAAAAGAACAUUAUUUGAACUCUAUUUGUGGCGCCACCUUUGAUUCUAUUAAUGUGUCAUGGUCAAUUGAUGUCAAACUCUAUUAUCUUCAAGUCUUAUUGUAUUGAUAAAAUCACGAUGCUGCUACUGCCAUUUUGAUGUUUAUAAAAGGGUAUUGAGAACCUGGUGGGUAUCCAUUCGAUGCGCAGGGGUGGGGGUGGGGAAAAAUGAGUGUAAAGGAUAGGGAUACAGUAUUUAGAAAGAUGGGGCUGCCACAGAAGAUAGUCUCCAAGUAUGGCAGGGAAGAAUCUAAAAACUGAUUCCUUGAUCAAGACUGUCCCAUAUUCAUAAAUAGUUCACUGACAGAUCUUGCUUGCAUAUUCUGAACAGCUGAUGCUGGGCACAUAGGAGGUUAACCGGUCAGCGGAUCGAAGGAAAAAAAAAUCUUGCCUGUCAGUGUCCACAAUGGCCUCAUCUUGGGUUAGAGACAAUCAUCCCUAAAGAAUCAUAUUGCCGGAUAAGGUUAUCUGUGAUUGGUGGGUGCAGAUCCAUGCUCAUCCUAGAAACAAGCCAGGGCUAAAUGCGCCACUCAUUUUAGAUGCUUGGAUGUUGUGGUCACACCGAAAUGAUCGUGUGUUUAAUGGAGUUUCCCAUAGUGACUAGCGUGCAGGCUGUCCUCGUAUUCGAGAAAAAAAAAAUCAAUGGGCGAAAUAUUUUCACCCAGGUAAUUGUUGCAUUGUAUGAAUAGGUUAGAGUAUGAAUGUGCGUGUACUGUGACACAAGAAGAUUUAUCAUAUCCAUAUAUGAAUUAGUGUUAAAUUUGCUACAUAAAUAUCUUCUCUUAUCUCAUUGUAUGUGUAUAUAUGACACAGAAGCACAUGUAUAUCGGCAUUGUAGAGAGAGAGAUGAGAGAGAGAAGCUUAUCUGCUUUUUGGAGAUAAAUAUUCAAAUUACUGGUGUAUGAGAGGGAUAUAAUUAUUCUAUUAAAUUGUUUAUUCAACAUCUAAAAAGAUUCCAAUGUUUAGUCAUCUAUAUAGGCAUUGUAGAGAGAGAGACUAGUGUUCAGCUGGUUGGAAGGAUGAGAGAGAGGAGAGAGUUCAGAUGAGAAAGAGACUAGUGUUUAGCUGGUUGGAAGGAUGAGAGAGAGAGAUAGAGUAGAGUUUGGAUGAUAGAGAGAUUAGUGUUCACCUGGUUGGAAGGAUGAGAGGGAGAUGAGAGAGUUCAGAUGAGGAGGUGGAGAGUUUGGAAGAGAGAGAGAGAGGUGAGAGUUUGGAUGAGAGAGAAAGCAGCUAAGAAGGAUGAGAGAGAGAAAGCGGUAUUCAGCUGGAUGGUGGAGACUUCAUAUAUUACUUAGCGUUGCUACGGCGAAACGACGUUGCUUAGCGCGCGAUGUUUUUAUCGUGUCGUGUAGCGCACCACAUUUUUUAUCGUGUUGUGUAACUUUUUUAUUUUAGUAGUAUUAGACUUUUCAUACAUAAGGGGCCACGUGAGUGUGUCCAUAUCCCAACCGUGCGGAGACCGCUUGUCAUUGAAUUUGUUAUCUCUUGCUCUAUCUUGUGAUUGGUAGGCUUCUACAGCAAUUCUGCACAAAGAAGGCCCCACUUCGCCCCACUCCUGACGUCCGGUUAUUCCCACGCCUGCCCUCUCCCUCUCCAAUCCUCACCGCCAGCUCCUCAGGGUCUAGGUCGGCCCGUGAUGUAGUGGCCUAUUAUCCUUCCACCGUUGGAAGCGAGCAGUGAUCGCUGCUCUGUGAACCUAGCCUCAAGCUGUUCCUACCACUUCAGGUCCAGUGAUGCCCGAGCUUUCGCUUGGCCCGAACAGGCCACUACCAACUUGGAACGGGCAAGGCCAGCAAGGGCACAGAAUAGACCCAAGCCCAGAGUCCGCGCCCAACCAUCCACACCACCUUAAUGCCCCCACUUGGGUUACAAGCCCGCGCAACCAAGCUCGGUGAGGAUGGCUCGUGAGGACGAACAUUUAAGCUGGUGCGUUGCUGCUUCAGAUGGCGAGGUGAUACUAAUAUAACGAAUAGGAAAAUUUCACGUGGGUCCCAUGCCGCACCCACCCCUAUCCUUAUCCUUUCUCAUCUCUCUACUGUCUGUCCGGUCCUUAUCCUCCUCAUCUCAUCUCUCUCUCUCAAUCCCUCUCUCUCAAACUCUCUAUCUCUCCUAUCCCCUCUUUCUCUGGAGAACGCGGUGCACGGCCAGCCCCAGCGGCGGCCUGGAGGCGCGAGGUGCCGCCGGCGGCCGAGGGUUGCGGGGCUGCGGCAAGGAGCCUCCUGGCUGUGGAUGCGACGGCCUAGCCACGGGUGCCGGGCCGCGUCACACCGCGCGCUGCUGCCGUCGAGCGGGCCGCACGCACUGCCCACACACCAGGCGGCGUGGGCGGCCAGGCUGAGCGGCGCGGCCGGGGCUGGGGAGGCGACUCUGGUGCGGCCGAGGUAGCUUGGGCACGGCCGGCUGUGGUGGGUAGGGAGAGGUGGACGGCGGCACAACGGCAGCGCGGAGAGGCGGACGUCAGGCACGAACGGGUGAAAGGGGAGACUGGGAAAGAAAGCUGGACCCACCUAUCAAUGCAGCCGGGGCCGGGGCAGCGCGGGCGGCUGAGGCCGAGGCCAGGCGGCGCGGUCGGGGCCAGGGAGGCGGCUCUGGUGCAGCCAGCCGUGGCUGGCAGGGAGAGGCGGACAACAGCGCAACGGCGGCAUGGAGAGGUGGACGUCAGGCACGGGUGGGUGAAAGGGGAGACGGGGAAAGAAAGCUAGACCCACCUGUCAAUGCGUUAAUCUUACCUAUUAUUAAACAUCAGGGCCACCUCUCAUUGAUAGAAGUUGGACCAAACCAAAAAAAAGUGGGCAGAAGUGUUCCUCACUUUAAUAGUAACAAUAAAGUAUAGAUAAUGCAUCCAAACAACAUUUGGAAUUUAAUUCUAAGAAAAACAAAAUAUGAUUCAUGGAAUGAGUUUCAACUCUAGGAAUCCAAACAGGCCUUAGUUAUUUCUUAUGUAGCUCAAAUCAGAUGCAAGGUACGUCCUAACUUAAAAAACGUAAGUUACUUUGUGUUAUCUUGUGAAUCAGUGAUUAAUUACUUCCAAUCUUAUGUAAAAAGAACUACGAGUUAAAUUCUUUGUCAGAUUUAUACUGACAAGUUACAAGCACAUACCUCUGCAGUAACAGGCGAGCCCUAGACUAGUGGGCAAACCAAAAACAACAUGAUUCGUCAACUGAUCGAAUGCUAAUGACUAUUUUGCUAGGAGAAUGAACAUGAUUCAUGAAAAAAAGGGAGCUACUAACUUGGUCAAGGUCUCCGUCCUCUAGCGUGGGGAAGGGGCCAUCUUGCUCCACGCCACGUCUGCGUGGUUGCUCGGCGGGCGCGACGGCGUCGGCUGCGGAGUGCGGACGGCGCGUAGAUAUGUCAUUGUUGAUCAGGACAUGCACUGCUAUCACCGUCUGUUAUUGGUCAAGGUCUCCGUCCUCUAGCGUGGGGAAGGGGCCAUCUUGCUCCACUCCACGUCUGCGUGGUUGCUCGGCAGGCGCGACGGCGUUGGCUGCGGAGUGCGGACGACGCGUAGAUAUGUCAUUGUUGAUCAGGACAUGCACUUCUAUCACCGUCUGUGGUUGGCGUCCGCGGCCGAGCGGGUCAAGGUCUCCGUCCUCUAGCGUGGGGAAACAGGAUCUCUUCAAUCAGUGCUUCUACAGAAACGGUGCACGGUCACCACGGACCAACGACAUACCAUGAGAAAAGCAGAGCGAAAUGUUGCAGUAGCAGAGUGACCGGAGACUGGAGAGCACUUGCUGCUAAAAGCUGCCUCUUAUUUUGUAUCGUCUUAACAGAAGACUUUAAGUCAACCGCCAUUCGAUUCCAAUAUAAACUAGCAAGUUGGCCCGCGAUAAUACUGCGGCUAGAUUUGAUACAGUAUAAUUUUUUUAAAUACUAUGUUAGCUUAGUAUAUUUCUUUGUCCCUCUUGAUUUGUUUUUCAUCCUCUUGAAAUCACUGAGUAUAGUUAGGUGCCUUACUCUACACAUUGAGUAUCAAGCCAUAUGUGUAUAUUUGUUUUUUUGCAAAUGAACUCCGAUGCCACAUGUGCAUAUGCACGCCUAAUUAAAAUUGCUCACUUGUAACAAAAUAAGAACAACUUGAGUAGUUGAUUCUGAUCUUAUGUUGAAGUUUUUGCCAACUUUUCCUAGUAUUGUUGUGUUGAGUAGAAAGCCUGUGUAGAGAAAGAUACAAAACAAACGAUCGUGUCAACUACUCCCCAUGCUUGCUCAAAUGAUUUUGAAAAAAAAAAACAACCGCGCUCUAAGUCCUAGGGCGGUGAUAUUCCUCCUUACUUUCCUCCUCUUGUUUUCCAUGCACAAUCGAGGAUGACAAAUACCACAAACCACUUAGGCUCGAUCAUGUUUCAUCAUCACAUUCCUCAAAUCUUGAUCACGUUGUUGUCUUCAUUAUGCUAGCAGUACACAUCUCUCCGCCUCUUCUAUUCCACAAAACCAUAAUUGUUCACCGGCUCCAGCAUUGUUGUUGCUCUCCACCAAUCGAGGAAGCUCUUGUCCUUGACAUCACCUUAUCCACUGACCAGCUGAAGUUAUCUGUACAUCCAAAGGUCUCAUAAGAUUUUUGCUGGAUUUGCAUUAAUAUUAAUAUUGCCACCAAUCUAGUCUCAACCUCGCCUUGUGUUCUCCGUGGUCAUUUUUUAUUCUAACUUGCAAGCUCCACAACUACAUAUGAUGGUUCUUCUAUAUACAUAAUAUAUCGCAUCUUCUAAGACAUAUAUCGCGGGCCGGCGGCGCGCGGGGGAGCGGCGCCGGUGGAGCGGAGGCGACCGGUGGUGGGCGGAAGCGGGUGGGCGCGAGCGCGGGUGGAGGCGGAAGAGCGUGCAGGCGGAGGCGGAUGGGUGGAGGCGUGCAGCGGCGGCGGGCGCGGGCGUGUGGCAGCAAGGCCGGCGGCGCGGGGAGGCGGAGACCGGUGGCGGCCAGCCGGCGAGCGUGGGGAUUCUUUUUAUUUUUUUCGAAAUUUUUUAGUCCCGAUUAGUGGUUGGUAACCCAACCGGGACUAAAGGGGACCUUUAAUUCCGGGUGGAUGACCCGGGACUAAAAAUCUCCUCUUUUGUCAAGCCAUCACUAUUGUCCAUAUCACAACGCCUGUGCCUUCUCUUGUUGUCCUCCCCCUUCCCUCUACCUUGCACCUUCUGUUUUCCUGAUCCUAUUGCCAGUUUGUUGCAGCCAUUUAUGGGCACCUCUUUCAUCCAUUGUCCACUGUUGUUGCCCGCUGCUUCAGUUCUUCUCUGACCAAAGCGGUCGUAUCGCGCUGGCCGGUAGGAAGCCAUCAUCUCGCAAAAGCGUCAUCGUCGUCGCCAAACCACAUCUAGCCGAUGCCGAACCAUACUUGCCAUCUUCUUUGCCAAUUUGCCGCUAUGGAAGCCUCCAUGCAUCGCUCAUCAAGUCUAUCCUAUCUCUAUCAGCUCCUGUGGUAUCCUGUUUUGUUUUUGCCUCAACCACGAAGCCAUAGGUUGCUGGUGCUAAAUUGCAGGGCUAGCAACAGGUAUUUCCUCUCCCUGGCCUUGCGGCCAUGCUAUGUAUUUUUCUCUUUAAAAAAAUUACAAUGAUUUAAUCCUAAUGUUCCGAUCAUGUGUGAUUGGUUUAUUAAUUAAAGUUAGAGUUAUACUUGAGUAUAUUAUAUAAAAAUAAUAUAUAUAUAUAUAUAUAUAUAUAUAUAUAUAUAUAUAAGUUACCAUACAAAGUACAACUUCCUACAAGGUGGAGAGGUUCGGAUGGAAUUUUGAUUCAACUUACUCUAUUCUAGAUAUUAGAGUUGUACUAGCAAAAUAUGCUAGUAUGUUGCUACGGUAAAAGAUCAAUUGUGUUUUUCAAAUUAAUAAUAUUUUUUAUUUUCAUAACUAAAUUUUUAUUCCACUUAUUGGAUGUCCACACAUUUAAUAGAAAACUAAAAGAAUUUUUUAUUCAAGCAAGAUAGUUAAAUCAGCCUCCGAUGGCCACCGACGGGGGCUCUUUAGGACUCCUUUAGCCCCGGUUGUAAAGCUAGUGGUCCUCGGGAUUCUGGUGAGGCGUUUUGUCCCGGUUGUAACUACCAACCGAGACUAAAGGGGGGGCCUUUAGUCCCGAUCAGUGUUUCCAACACAGACAAAAUGCUCCUCACCUCCACAUACACAAUGCGCGUGCCCCAAUUUCUCUCCUCCCUCCCCUUAAUUCCAGCGGCCAGGCCUCCUCUCCUUAAUUCCAACACCCACAUGCCUCCUCUCCUCCUCCCUUCACCCCCUACCUCCUCUCCUCCCUCUCUCUCUCUCCUCCGCCGGAUCCGGCCGGCCCCCACUCCCUCUCCCCAAGCUCCUCCCUCUCCCUCGGCCGAGGCGGGUGGCGCAGCCGGGGCCAGGGCGGCGUGGGUGGCCAGGGUCGGGGCCAGGGAGGAUGAUAGGUGGUUAUGAGGAUGAUACCUGCAGAUAAUACUUUUAAUCUCAAUUCUUACAGAAGAAUUGCACUAUGAACUACGCUUUCAUUUAUACCACACCGCUCAGCUAUAAAAAAUGGUGCAAAUCGACCAAAAUAAAUGAAUAAAUCACAUGGUUUAGACUGGUGGCAUAUGUAUGUUUGAUGAGUUUUGAAUCCCAACAGACCUCUGUUUGCUUAUCCAACCGGAGGAAAAACCUUUACUUACUAAAUCAGCUUUGCAUGCCAGGCUGCAAUUGUUAGAGCAGAAUUAGGUAAUUUGUGAACAUAAUUGAAUCAAAGUUUUGUCUCUGACAAGUAAUAGAAAAUGGUAAUGCUCCAUAGCAAGAACACGUUCCUACACUAGUUUAAAAAAUUCCCUGAAAUUGGGAACAAUGGUCAAGUCCAAACCAUACUUGCAACUUGGAGGACCGCUGGCCGAUGUAAGUCAAAGUCAAAAACAGAAGGAGACAGCGACGUCUCACCAGAUCACGAAUCAGAUGCGAUGCAUGUGCAUGUUCAGCAAGACAUUGAAAAGCAAGCUCUUCAAUACGCUCCAGCCCAGCUCCACCAUGGCUUUGGCAAUGCGCGUCAUGAGCUUGCUUCCUGCCACCAUCGCCGUGAUGAUCGCAGUGGCCUCUUGGGGAGCGCACGGCGGUGCCAGCGACGAGGCCAGCGCGCUGCUUGCUUUCAAGGCUCAGCUCGCCGGCAGCGGUUCCGGCAUGCUUGCAUCCUGGAAUGGCACCGCUGGCGUCUGCGGCUGGGAGGGCGUGGCGUGCACCGGCGGCCAGGUAGUGGCACUGAGCCUGCCCUCCUAUGGGCUCGCCGGAGCCCUCUCCCCGGCCAUUGGGAACCUCACUUUCCUGCGGACCCUGAACCUGAGUUCCAACUGGUUCCAGGGGGAGGUCCCAGCAAGCAUCGGCCGCCUAGCGAGUCUGCAGACGCUUGAUCUGAGCUACAAUACGUUCUCUGGUACGCUUCCUUCCAACCUCAGUGCCUGUGUCAGCUUACUGCUGUUGAGGCUCAGUAGUAACCGGUUCCAUGGGCGUAUCCCUGUUGAGCUUGGAGACAAGCUAACAAGUCUUCAGAUGUUGUCACUGCGCAACAACAGCUUGACGGGUGCCAUACCAGGAUCACUAGGUAACCUGUCAUCCCUGAUCUACCUUCAUCUGACAGAAAACCACCUCGAGGGUCCGAUCCCACAUGAACUUGGCAGCAUGGGCGGCCUGCAGGUCCUUUUCCUCUAUGAGAACAGACUCUCCGGUGUGCUUCCACACUCCCUGUACAAUCUGUCCUCACUGAAAAGCUUGUGGGUAGGAUACAACAUGCUGUCUGGAACCAUCCCUGCUGAUAUCGGCGAUAGGUUCCCCGGUAUGGAAGCUCUUGACUUUUCUAGCAACCGAUUCAGUGGAGCUAUCCCACCUUCGCUCGCCAACCUCUCUGCUCUCACAAAACUAGUCCUUCAAGGAAAUGAUUUUAUUGGAUAUGUGCCUUCUGCUUUGGGGAAGUUAAGUCUUACUGCCCUUUACUUGGGUGACAACAGGCUAGAAGCAAACGACAGUCAAGGGUGGGAAUUCAUAGCUUCACUGGCAAACAGCUCCCAGCUUCAGCUUCUUGUUCUCGGCAACAACUCUUUCAGCGGGCAACUGCCUAAUUCAGUCACAAACCUGUCAUCAACUCUGCAAGGUCUUUAUUUGGGACCCAAUAUGAUUUCUGGGAAUAUUCCAAUAAACAUCGGAAAUUUGGUUGGUCUUACAGUACUUGAGAUGGCAAAUACUUUUGUAUCUGGACAGAUUCCAGAGAGCAUUGGUCAGCUAAGAAACUUGGUUCAGCUAGCCCUUUACAACACUAGCUUGUCAGGCCUCAUACCUUCAUCACUAGGAAAUCUUACACAGUUGAAUAGCCUUUUAGCAUACUAUGGAAACUUAGAGGGGCCAAUUCCAUCAAACUUGGGGAACUUAAAGAAUGUGUUUUCCUUUGAUCUCUCAACAAAUCGACUCAAUGGUUCAAUUCCUAUAGAGGUUUUAAAACUUCCUCGACUUUCCUGGUACUUAGACUUAUCAUAUAAUUCAUUAUCCGGGCCACUUCCAACUGAGGUUGGUACCAUGGUGAAUCUUAACGAACUGAUUCUGUCUGGAAACAAGUUGUCAGGCACCAUACCAGCUAGUGUUGGGAACUGUAUAUCGUUGGUACGGCUGCUGCUCGAUAACAACUUAUUAGAAGGAAGCAUACCGCAAUCUCUGAAGAACUUAAAAGGUCUUGAAUUACUGAACCUAACAAUGAAUAAGCUAUCUGGUAGUAUUCCUGAUGCCCUUGCUAGCAUUGGCAACCUGCAACAACUGUAUCUUGCACACAACAACUUGUCAGGUUCCAUCCCCAAAGUUCUACAGAAUUUGACAUUGUUGGCAAAACUGGAUU
rnacentral:lncRNA from 1 species